rnacentral:lncRNA from 1 species
AGAUUUUGGAGGUUUAGAGGAUCAAGGAGCUCUCCAACAAUAAGGAUCUUGGGAGGAGCUUGGGCUAAGGUAAGUUUUACUAUAAAGCCCAUCUAGGGUUUGGAUUUCACCCUAGGUUUUGGGAGUUUUGAGUUUGUUUCUAGCUUUAGAAACCUUUUGAGGCUUGAGCACCAUGAAAAUCAUGGAAACUCAAUGUCCUCUCAUGGUGGUUAUCUAGGGAUCAUGUUAGAUGCCCUAGGAAUGAUACGAAUAGCUUAGAAAUGGUAUUAGAGAGUUUCCUAGAUGAUUCUAAGCUAGAAUUUGCGUAGUUACAAGAUCAAUCUAGGAAAAAUCCCUAUAUGACAUUGUUAGGGCAUGAAUUUUGGGACUUUUGCCUCCGGGUGUUUUCAAGGUAAAUUGACCCCUUGGAAACCUAAUUAGGAGUAUUUUCGACGCGUGGGACAACUCCGUUCGUCGACUAGAUAUGAGUUUGUAGUAUAAAGCCUAAUUUGGCUCUAAAAUUAUUGUAGAUCGCCGUAGCACACGGGAUCGGAGUUCGUAGAGUACGAGGAUCGAACCACAACUUCCCUACUAUCAUUCGAGGUGGGGGGUGCACGCCGGAAUCGUUGGAUUCCCUUCUAUAUCGAUUUCACCUUUCAUUUGAGCAUUAUGUCAAUAGUCAUUCAUGCAUAUUAGGGUAGUUUACAUGUGAAUAAUGGUUUAAUUUUAUUUAUAUGCUUCUAAUGUAGUUGAACAUGGAAAAUGAUUUGAGCCAUAGUGGACAUGUAUGUUGGGACCCUAAACUUGUAUGAAUGUGAGACUUUGUCCAAGAUAAUAGUAAAUAAAUGUGACAUUGACAUUAGAGAUAUGAUUGGCAUUGAGACAUGAAUCGUUAAACAAGGUUUAACUAUUAGUGGCCUUAUGACAAGAAUGACUUAGAAAGUGACAUGAACAAAUAGGUAGAAACCUAUUAUGAUAGUGGUAUUAUGGCUAGUGGCUAUACAUUUCCUAAGUGGGAAUUGGAUCGAUACUUACGAUAAGUCUUGGCUUGAGGGAGGUAGCUCCUCCUCAAGCGGUGCGUUCCGGAAUUGUCACCACGGGGAGCACGGUUCCCGAAGACGGUCCCUCGGGUCUUGUAGUGCUUAGAGCUUCCCCGAAUGAAAGGGAUUUUGGGUUAUGAGUUAUUGGGGUUAACAAGGUUAACCGGUAAGAUUGGGUAAAAGCCAAGGUAAAGUUAUGGAAAAGAGCAUGCAUGCAUAAUCAUUCAUAUUUGAUUAUAUAUAUCCACUGACAGCUUUCUUGCAGGCAUAGUAUUAGCAUUAGUAUUGGCUACUUUUCUCUUUCUUUCAAAUACUUAUGCUGGAAUAGACCUAGUGGGUAAGUCGGCGAGGUCGGUUGCCGAACCAACUGGGAACUUCGUUGUAGUUCUCACACCACUAACCCUACAGAUCCGAGCGCGAGCGGGGCGGCGGAGGAUCGAAGCAAGGGUAUCGCGCCAUAGCUAGUGGCCACCGGAGUACUUGCAUUUUAGUCAUUCCCUUUUUGGUUCAUGUAUCAACUUUUAUUUUGUUGAUUUAUAGAUGUAAAAGUUGAAAACAAUUCAUAUAUUUUGGAGAAUCAUUAUGAUGUAAAAAGAAAUUAUGAAUAAAAGCAAAUGGAUAUAAUAGUUUUAGUUUACUAGUAUUUGGUUUAAAUGUAAUCAAAUAUUAUAUAUGGUUGUAUGUUUUAGCUUAGAGCUUUCGCUUUCGUUGUUGCUUGCCCUCGCGCAAGCCUUAUAUAAUUGGAAAUCUCUUUGUUUGAUUGCUUAAUUAUACUUGUGGUUGGAGCCUUGGGCGGGCAGGGGAGGCCCUAUCCGUUCGGCGUCUGUUGACGUGGCCCGAACCCGACCAAAUUGGCAGGGAGCGGGGUGUGACAUGAGGUCAAGGGUUGUGCACGUAAUGGCGAGGGUUGUUCAUGUGAUGUCGAGGGUUGUGCACGUGAGGUCGAGGGUUGUGCACGUGACGUUGAGGGUUGCGCACAUUGAGACUGACUCUGUCUGCAGUAUUAUAAUUGAGAUUUAUUAAAAUAUUUAAUAAUUAAAAAAAAUAUUCACCAAAAUCUAGAGAUAUCACUUACUUUGUUAUCUUGACGCCUGGUUCGUUACCAAUUUCGCGGUCACCAAUUAGGUUAUUCGAAAAAACCACAUCGAUAUCAUUAUGAAGUAGUCUUGUGCGCAUCUUACGACUGAUUUUGUAUCUCUGACAGAUAUAAAUCUUUCUCGAUGUAUACCGACACACGUCCAUAAUAUUCAAACAAUCCAAUUAAUCCCUCCAAUGAUUCAUCAUUUACUAUAUCGUGAGCUAUAUAUUCAUUCGCUCCCGUAGGGCAUCGAAUUGUGAAUUUAAGACGAUAUUCUUCUCUACUACAAUUAGCUAAAUGAUACAUUCUCGUCUCAAAAUUAGUAUAUGCCGUAUCUGAACGAAUCACGAUCAAUUUCUUUCGACCGCCGACAUAUUGGGGACCAUUUUCAUCCAUAACUAACUGUCCAUCCCAAUGAACACUUAGAGACAUCCGACGACUAGCUCUUUUAACUAUAAAAAAAAAAACUUUCAAAGAGCUAAGGGAUCACAUGGAUGCUUCUCUACCACACACAAAAUUCCAACAAAGAGUUUUGACAAGGAAGAGCUCAUAUUUAUUGAAAAGUUGUAUCUAAUCAAGAAUACUACUACUAUUUCCAACAGAAAAAAUAGUUAAUCAUUCUAAACCUAGUUUUUACACCGAUUGUAAAAUUGGCAAACGGUUAACUAUUCUAAACCUAGUUUUUACACCAAUUAUAAAUUGGCAAUAGGUUAACAUUCACUCGAUGGCUAAUGGCUUAACCUACUUUAAACUUAGUUUUUACAAGUCUAACUUGCUACCACAAUGCCAACAAUGCCAACAAUACUAACAAUGCCAUGGAGUUGAUAGCCAACAAUAGCUAAUUGAGUAAUAAAAUUAAAUAAAAACCUAACUUAAUUAACUAAAAACUUUAAGUAAAGAUUUUGAGAAAAUCCAACAAGUAGCAAUGGAGCUACCUGAAAUGUGGGUUGCUGAGAGAGGUUGGCAGAGGCGGUAGAUGCGGGGGGCGACUGUAGUACUGUCACGCCCCGGGACCGGCGGAGGCCCUCCCGGUAGCGUGCCCAGACCCGCCAUAUGUCUACACAUAUAAGGCGUCUACAAUNGCAGUUCAAACUGCUCAGAAUCUGCACUGCGUACCGGUACACGGGCCCGCGUACCGGUACACCUUCUACGAAAACGCCCAGCCCGAGCCUCGGGUUGGCUGAGAAGCGGCCAAAGUCGAUGGCUGUACCGGUACAGCCAUCACUCCCGUACCGGUACACAGCCCUCUGAAGGCAACCCGAGAGCUAACCAAAAAUACGAUUUUUCGGGUUUUCGUGCUCGGCCUUAAACCUCACUUCUCGGGACUCGAACCAUGGGUCGGAACACUGUCUACGACCCUUCAGAAAGUCUGAGAUGGCUCGUCACACGGAUCAAACACUCGAAUCUCGCAAUUUCCAAAGGUCCAGUAUGUCACAAGUACAUUGAACUUUAGCAAAUUACAAAGUUCGAGUGUUAGAAUAGUAAUUGGAACUAUUCUAGAUUUUGUGAGGGGUUGUCGAGAGAUUUUCGGCAUGUUACUUGACUGAUCAAGUGGCCGGAAGAGCGAAAGUGCAUUGAAGUUGCGAAAUUCUGUAUUUUGCACUAAGUACCGGUACCCCUAUGCCCGAGUACCGGUACCCAAUACAGCAGCUACGUGGAUUGAGAUUGUUUUGGUAAUUUCACUUCAAAACUUAUCCUUUUAAGCUUCUGGUCGACUCCUCCCAGCUGGUUCUUAUCCUGAUUGAGCUGAAGAACAGGGUAAGACUUGUUCUCUUUCUCUCUCUAAGGUUUUGAGGUCUUUUUGAGUAGAAUUGAGGAUUUAAGCUUGUUUUCUUCUCCUCUCUUGUUGUUUGCUUGUUGGGUGGGUUUGGAGCUGUUAUAGAAGGGUGGAAAGAAGAGUUUUGGAGGUGUUUCUCUGUUCUAACUCAACAGGUAACUGAGUUGAAGUUUGGUGAGGUGAGGAAUCCAACUUCUCUCUAGUUUGAGGUAUUAGUAGUGGAUUUGAGCUUGUGCUUUGCUUCUUUGCUGCCAGCUGGUUUGGGAAAGCUUGUAGCAGCUGUAGAGGAGGUGUUUUGGCUGUGAUUCUUCAAUCCUAACUCAGUUGAAACUGAGUUGGAGCUUUAGAAGGUAAACUAGCUACUAUUUCACUAGUUUUGAUGUUGUAAUAGAUGUUUUAUUAGAGUUCGUGGGGUUAAUUCACAGCAGGUUUAUGAAACCCUUUUGGUUAAGGUUCGGUGACUUUCGUAGGUUGGUUUUGAAGUACUUCAACCUGAAUUGAAGUGGAGUUGAGGUUUGGAUGCUAUACUAAGUAUGAAUCUACCUAUAUGAGAUACUUAUGUGAGGUUUUUAGUAAAGGUUGUAACUACGCUCCUGGCUGAUUUUAGUAUGGUUGUUAGGAUGCUUGGAGGCUAGCGAACACCUUCGUUUGCGGGAUCGACAAGAGUCAACAGCAAUUCGGUGGGUUUGAUCUUACCGAAAUGGAUGAAUUCUCCCUAUGUCUACUUUGAUAUUAUGAUAUUGAAAUUCUUACAUAUUCAUGUUGAAUAUAUCUUGAAUGGGGUUAUGCUUGCAUAAUAUAUGCAUAGUAGAGGAAGGAUUAUGUAUAGUAUGUUUGCAUAUUACAUGCAUGGUAUGUAAAGUAAAGUUAACCUCUAUGUAGUAGAGGAAAGGUCUUGGAACUUUCUUAGUAUGCAUAGGUCACUUGCUCGUUUAGCAUGUAUUCAUGAUACUAGCAAACUUGUGUAGACAAGUAUGACGUCAUUCAAUAGUGAACAGCUGUAAAGCUAUGAAUAUGAUACUUAGUUUGAUUGCACAACUAAGUAAAUAAUGUAUUAUAGUGUUUUACCUUUGAGUUAAAUCAUGCAAUUCCAUAUUGUAGACAUGAUGAUAGAGCUUCUAGCAUAUCCUGUAUAGUGGAGUUACCUACAUAUACAUUUAUAUAGUAGAAUAACUUGUGGAGGAAUCACGUAUAGCGUACCUUAUAUGAUAUUUUGCAUACUUGUGUUGACAAGUUGGUUAUCGCUUUCACAUGGUAGAACUAGCAUGAAUUUCGUGUUCUUAUAUAUGAUCUAGUUAAGUAACCAGAACGAGAUAUUAUGACAUGAUAUGAACAUAUACUAUUGAAUAUGACCUAGUUAAAUAACUAGAAUUGGAUAUGAUGGUAUAUUUGUGUAGUCAAGUAGAAGCAAUUGCAUAAUACUUGUUUACUCUAUGUAGUGGAGGUUUAUGUAGAGAUAUAAAAUAUGUGCCAUGAAUUGUAUGAAACCAGAAUGAGUCAUUGAGUAUGACCUUAGUAAACCACUUUCCUUAUGUGUAAGGAGUAGCGAGAGGACUAUAUGUGUGUAUGCGGGUCUAGCCCGUUAGAAUCAUUCAUAUGAUGUAAACCAUGUACUUGUUUAAGUCAUACUAUUUAUUGGUAGAAAUAUGUCACCAAGUAGGGGAUAGUGGAAUUUGACUUAUUGUUAAUGGUCGACCUUGUGUCAAAGAUGAAAUUCUAUGUUAGAGACAUGAUGAACUUGUGAACACUAUACUAUGGAUUACGCUUGCUUGCCAAUGUGCUCAUUCGCACAUGCUUGUGAGGGUCGCGCCCCACAAGCCGGCACUUCGGAGUUGGCCUACGCAACAGCAGAUCGCUUCUACGAGACUGAGCGCCGAAGUGGAUUGCCGUGGGUAGUGUUGACUUUCACGAGGCCAUUAGGCACGGCACGAGCCGGGACUUUACCACGUGUAAGUCUCUUAUUACUUCGGUUAAUGUAAAUGAGUUUAACCUUAGAUGGACAUAGUAGUCAUUAGAUAUAACGACAUUACUUGUAUGAUUACACUCCAGUUAGUGUAGGAAGAUAGCUACAUUUUGUCAUUAGCUAGUUAAACUAUAAUGACGAUGUUCUACAAGAAUCUUGACAUAUAGCUGAUUAAAUUGAUAAUUAGCAUGACUAGAAUUUGUAUAUGAUGAACUAGUACAUAAGACAUGUUAGAAAGCACAUCUUGUUGAGUCAUGUUUAUAGUUAAUUUUCUUUAUCUAUUUGUGGUAUUUACAUUUCUUACUUAUUGUUGUUUACUCAUGCCUCAGUUCACCUAGUGGUGUACUUCACCAUUCUCGGCGGCUUACUCACUGGGAACUUUUGUUUAAUAGUUCUCACGCCCUUUUGUUGGUUGUUUUUGUACAAAACCUUCCACAACGGGAAAGGCUAGGGUUCCGGGCAAGGGGUCAGCGACUAGCUAGAGCCUUCUCGAUGUUAAAUAGAUGAACCCAUACAAGCUUAUUCUAGUUUAAUUCAAAGAUGUAUAUUGGAACUGUUAGAAUGUACUUUACUUUUAAGUUGUAAUUUGGCUUUGUAUUGAUAUCAACUUAUGCACUUUAAGUGUUGCUCUGAUUACCUGGUUAAGAUAUUAUGCUUUUGCUAUAUAUGUUGAUUGUAGACGCCUGGUGUACACUUGAGGUUGCCGUGUACAUGGCGGGUCUGUGCACGUGACUGGUGAGCUUCCGCUGAAGUCCAGGGCAUGACAGCGACAGUGACCGGCGGGGCUACGGCGGCAGGGGCGGCGGCGACCAGGGAGGGUUACUGGAGAGGAAGGGGCAGAGAGAGAGAGAGAGAGCGAAAGCACGAGAGAGAGGAAGAGGUGUCGGGUUCGGGUAUACCUAAUAAAGACGGUGAAUCGUUCACCGUCUUCAUAAAUCGUUGAAUCGUUCCCCGUCUUAGUGAAGACGGUGAACGAUUCACCGUCUUCUCUAGGGCACAGCAAUCAUACUUCGAAAGGCGGGUUUGCACUAAAGUACUAAAGGCAGUGAAUAGUUCACCUUCUUAGUGAAGGCGGUGAACCAUUCACUGCUUUCACUUGGUAUAUUACAAAGAUGGUGAAUGGUUCACCGUUUUAUCCAUGUUCCAACACCAACCUCCAGGACUUGAAAAAAUUUCAGGAAAAGAAUGGGGAUUUGCACUAAAGGCGGUGAACUAUUCACCGCCUUCACUUAGUAUAUUAUAAAGGCGGUGAAUCGUUCACCGUCUUACUCUUACUGAAGACGAUGAACGAUUUACCAUUUUCAAAAAAAAUUUCUGACCUAGCUCCCACGUGGCCAAAAAAAGGUUGCUUUUUCAAAUAUAAAUUUUAUAGGGUCAUUUCGCAAAUUAUAAAUUUUUCGAGGAUUAUUUUAUAAGAAAGUUCCAAUAUAAUACGCGCAACAUCAGUGUCUCGAAGUGAUUACUGCUCGAAUCUGGAAGUCCCGUCCUCGGCUAUUUCCAUUGCUCCUUAUUUUAUUUUAGGGGCAAUUGUCUAUAUGCCUCUGAAAAGUUUCCGGUUUUCUUAUUUACCCCUCUUGGAAGGCUAAUAUUGAAAAUACCCUUCUUAUGUUCCAAGUCUUUCUAAUAUACCCCUGGAGUUAAGUUCCGUUAGUGAGCUACCGUUAUCUCUGAAAAAUUACCAUUUUGCCCAUUCCAAUAUACCCUUGUACCGUAACUAACUUUUCUUAUAUACCCUUUAUAUAGUAAAUAUUUUUCUUAUUUGCCCUUCAAAUAUCAAUUAAUUAAUUAAGCACGUCGGGAGCGAGCAGAUGAACGGAUGAGAUCGAUUGCAGCUAAACCAACCUUAGUGCUGGAGGCAUAGUUAGUUAAUUUGGAUUCAGCAAAAAUUCGGUACGGAUAUAAUUCGGAUAAAAUUCGUCUUUUAAGUUUUAAAUUCGUUGAAAAAUACGACUAAAAAACGGAUUCGGCAGUUAUUCGGAUACGUGAUUUAUACAGGUAUUAUACGUUCCCCAAUUAAAAAUUCGGGAUCAAAUAUAAUUUUUAUAUAUAAUUUUUAAAAAUUCGGUAUUAUACUAUAUAUAUUAUUAUUAUAAUAUUUAUAUAUAGAUUAAAUAUAUUUAAAAUUAUAAUAAACAUGUACUAAUAAUAUAUAAGAGUUAUAUAUUUAAAAAUAUUAAUAAAUAAUUAUAAAUUUAUAAAUAAAAUAUUAUAUAAUUAAUUUUCUUAUAAAAAAAAAUACUAUAUGCAAUAAAUAUUUAUAAAAAUAAUUAUUUCCUAUAGUAUAUAUAUAUAUAAUGAGAGGGAGGUCCACCGUGGACCUCCCUCUCAUCCGGUCCACAAGGCCAAACUGGCCUCGUGGACCGCACAGGGACGCGUCGAGCUCCAGCAACCGUGCGACCGAGCGAGCCCGGUCGUCGGUGAGCCCGUCCGGGAUGGCCCGAAAGUGGACUUUCGGGCUCGGCCUCGGCCCCGGAAGUGAGUUCCCGCUGGAGCUGCAGAGGAGGCGGCGGACCAGCGGUCCUCUUGCUCCCUCGGGCGAGACGGGAUCGUCGCUGCGGCCCUCUUGCUCCCGGCGCCGGCCAAGGCGGCGGUGGAGGAGGAAGACGACGAGAGCGGCGGAUUAGGAGGACGACAAGAGCGACGGGAGGGGUGGUGUUGGAGGUGGAGGUGUGGGAGGUGGUGGUGGUCUGGGAGGAGAUGAGGCGAGGUGGAGGCGGAGGAGCCAGCGAGGUGGAGGCGAAGAAUUCGGCGAUCAAGUUGGGAGAGAAAGAGAUAACUUAAGGGAUUAGCAUAAUAAGGUAGGAGUAAAAUAGGUAUUUUAUAUAGAUUUUAACUCUAGUAUAUAUUUAACCCAUGUUUAACUCGAGUUAAGCUAACAGGGGAUAACUGCGUGGUAUUUUAAAAUAAUGGUGGAACAUAUGAGGGGCAUUUUAGAAAGAAAAAAAAAUAGGGAUAGAUCGAAUAUUUCCAGACGCAUGAGGAAUAUAUAGGCAAUUAUCCCUUUAUUUUAUUUUAUUUUUUUAAUACGUAUAUCGCCUGAAAAGAAGGAUUUUCAAAUCAUGUCAAAUAUGUUAUAGCAAUGACAACAUUUUCAUGAUAAUUAUAUGAUAAAAUACUAUAGCAAGAGAAGCGCAAUUUACCGUACAAUUUUCUCCAUGUAGAAAUUACAGACAAAGUACCUGACUAGCAGAGAUCAACAACAAGAAAUUUGCAGAUACGGCUGAUGCUUUAGUAGGUAUUUACAAGUUCACAGUCCAAUUUACUUGCACAAAUUUCAUAAUUAUACAAAGCAAGUUGUCACAGAGUUUUCUUUAGGCUGGUUAUACAUGUACGAACCGUAUACAACAACUCAAAUCAAAGUACUGCCAAUGAAGCAACACUAUUUUCAUCUUGCCGUCCUCUAUAUGAAAAUAUUAUAGCAUUCUUUAUGAGACACCUGCUAUGAUAUCAGAUUAUUGGUUCCUAGCCGAUGUGGAAUUACUAACAGAGCGGAUUUUCUCAUUAUGAUGAGCUCACGUUUUUUAGCGUGUUUGACGGUUUCAUGCUAGAAGAACCAUGCUUGAAUCAUCGAACUUGGUAUCGCUUCAUGUUUUUUAGCAUGUUUGACGGUUUCAUGCUAGAAGAACCAUGCUUGAAUCAUCGAACUCGGUCUCGUUUCAGCAAGAAUGGUUGUUCACAGUUGUCAAAGCUGAGCUCUUUGAUAAUUGUUGAUAGCCUUGAGCAAAUCCGGCCUGACACAUUUGACCAGCCCAAACUCGCACGGCUGGCCCAGGUCUGAUAUUUAGAGGAUUGAUAAAAUCCAGCGGAGCACACAUUGUUUCUUUCCUCAGUUGUUACCCCCUCGCCCAAGAUUCUCUUCUAUUUUAUCCGACCCGACCUAGUCUCGUCUAGGCCUGAAACCAGGCUUGGCCGGAACGCAUCCCUUCAAGCCAUUUGCGCAGGUCUAGCUAUUUAUCUGCAACUGAGCCAUCCUCAACACUGUUAGAAGAGCUCUGCUGCACACCACCACUGGAAGAAGAAGACCGGCUUGAACUGCUGCCCUCUGCAGCAAAACCGCUCUCUUUCUUCUCCGGCUGCCUCUGUUUCCCUUUCCUCAUUUCAGAAGACAAAUCCUACAAAAAAUAGCAGUCACUACGUUAGGAACUUUUACUCUAGUGUGCUGUUUGUUCUGCAAUGAAGCAAACUGCGCAGUAAAAUCCAAACUACUACAUCACAUUCAUGGCCGGACUACUGCAUCACAUUCAGGGCCCAUUUGUCCUGCCUGGAUCUUCCACAAAAAUGUUAUUUAAGUAAAGAUCCAUGAAAAUGCAGUAAUAGCUUUUUCCUUUUCAUUAAGAAUCUGUUUAAUAGCUUCUCCUGCAAUGAACUAAAGCUUUAGAUUGGAGCUCCUGCUUUUGCAAACCAGAAGUUACUUACCAGCUUCCCACUUGGACUAUUUGUUUGCUUUAUACCACACUGCUGCUUUUCGGAGUAGGAAGCUUGUCCAAGAAACCAGGCAAGAUAGGCACUUGCUAUGUAGGCACAUUUGCUCAAAUAUAAUGGCAUGAAUUCAUUACAAGUUAUGUUCUAAUCAGAUAAUCUUUUACCUUAUCGUUUGCCAUUUUUGAAUGAGAAGGGCCCACAGAUCCAGGAGUCUUUAGUUCCAACUCCGUUGCCACAUCACUAUGAUUAUCACUUCUCUCUCCACCGCAACUUGGUUGUUGGUGAGUAGAAGACUUGUUUCUUGAAUCUUGUUGGCCAGCGGGACGAGAUCUACUGCUACUUGGGUGUGGAAAUUGAGACUGUUGACUUGAUAGCUGAUCAACUUGAGCAUGGCAAAGCUGAGAAUAUGGCAUAAAAGUAGAACAGGGAUUGGGAAUGGGUCCCGAACUAGGAUUUCGGAAAAAGGGAAAUGGUGGAAGUGAUGAGUGUAUAGCAAGUGGAGCUGAGGGAAUUGGAACUGAGAUUGGAAAUGGAUAAGCAGGAGAUAAACUCAUAAUUGAAGGGUCCAUUGCAGCCCAGGGAUAUAAAACCCUAAUCCUUUGCUGAUAUUGAGUGUUUAAAUUGUCGACCUCACUUUUUAGAGUGGCUUUCUCGUCUCUAAGCUCAUUCUUCUCUUGUGUCAACUAUACAAAGGAAAAGAUAAAGUUUAGGUAAAAACUAACAGACCUUACCUAUACUAUAGUACAUUUUGAAUGGAUUUCUUAACUUUCUCCGAUUUUGAUUUUAUUACCUGACCUUUCAUUCCUAUUUUAUUCCAAAAAAACAGUUACAGACAAUUCCGUCAAGUACCAAAAUAUCGUAUGACAUUACAGAAAAUCCAUCAAAAGGUUACAAAUACAAUUAGGUUCUAACUUAAGAGAUACUAUUGUAAGGUUAAGUAAUGAAUCACAAUUUUAAAGUUCAAGUACACAUCUUCAAAACGUGCUGCAGAUCAGUGAAGGACCAUAAUCUUCUCACCAAAAGUUCUAACUUUUCAAAAUUGAGAUGAUGUUACCUCGCGUGAUUCUUCGGUGAGAGAAGCACAUUCUGCUUUUAAUCUGUUCACUCGAGCAGUCAAGUCUUUAAGCAUCUGGAUGGUAUCAGUGAGAAUGGUAGCCUUAUCAUUCUUGGGUCGAUCUGGAUCUGUAUUUCAUUUCAACCACAUAGGCUAACUAUAAGUAGCUUGUAAUACAAAAUUAUUUUUGUACUACAAUAGAAUCUAAUAUGGGAAAUACAUAUUUCAAAGAGGGACCAAAUGACACAGAACUACUUACAGGCUGGUAAGGAACCCAACCUUAGAGGUUCAAAAAUUGCAAUUCAUACUAAUAGAAGUUAUAUAUAAUAUAUAAAACGCUAAUGCAGAAAGCCGCAAAUUUUGGACCAUAUUUCAAAUGACCAUCAAACAAGAACUAUCAAAAUCAAAGGUCUAAAAUUUUGGACCAGAUCAGUAAAGGACCAUCAUUCAAUGCAGGGGAUACAUGUUUUGAAAACCUAGUGAUUUUUUUGUAUACAAGUCUAUAGAUAUUUUAGAUCACGCAGAAUGUCCAACAGUCUUGAUUUUGAUUUUCAGGCCUCUACAGUUUAUGUUUAUUUUCGUGUAAAAAGUGUGUAGCUUAAAGGUUUCUGAGCUCACACCAAUCCAAUUCCAAAAACAUUACUGUUGCUUCUCCACUUUAAUAAAGAAAAAAAUCAACAUUACUCAGAAUUAUCUGAAAGAAGAAACUCUGGGAUGCCACUAAUAUUUGAAUUCCUAACUUAAUGACCUUUGAUAAAUCUCUUAUUAGUUGUUAUAUUUUACUAUCUAGAUAAAUCUAGAUCCAUCUAAUUUCAUGGUUGUUGUUGGCCACAUGGUAAAAACAAAGUUUAAAAACGACGGUUAACUAAUAAACAAGGUGGUUCAAAGCUUCAACUACUUAGUGUGAAAGUUUUGUUUGUCUCUAAAAGCUUGAGCUGCUAGAGAGCAGUGUUUUAAUAUUUUAUACUCAAUGCCCUACCUUAUUUUCGCGCUCAAGAUGAUUUGAUAGGUCCAGGAAGUAGACUAGAUAUGUAAUGGAAGGAAAUCAAAUAAGAAUAGACGAUUGGACAGACUUGAACUCAAAACCUCCUGCUAUAAUAUCUUGUGAAAUAACCACUUGUCUCUGAAAUCUUAAGUUGUCAGUAUAUGGUAUUUUACUACUUUUAUCUUCGGUGUUAGAGACCAACAUGAUUGAAAAACAGCCUAGUAACAUAAAAAAAGAUGAUUGUGUCACAAUAAAAUAUAUUAUGCCAAUCACAGGGAAGGCACUAAUUGACAAUAAGCUACAAGAUAUCAUUUAAAAUGGUUCAACCGCGUCUAUUAACAAGACAAGUGAAUGAAAUCAAAGGUUUUGGUGAGAGUUCAAAUACAAUUCAAAUAUACAAUCUCUAUCCAAAUGUUUGACAGUAUAAAAAUAGGUACGUGACAAAAUGGCUAAGAUAUGUGAUUAGCUAGUUAAAAUGGGGCAGUCGAGUUGAUUAAUGAUGCAGUUCAAGGAUGAGCCUUGUCCUAUUUAUUUGUUUCUUUUAGUUUAAAUUUUUGCUUAAUAAUUUUUAUUUUAAUUUUGAUUGUUUAGUUGUUUUUAGAUGAUUUUUGGUUUGCAUUCCGAUGAUACAUGAUGUUUUGAAAAGAUUUCUAUCUUAGAAAAAAUUACUUUGACGUAUUCGCUAGUUUUUAGUGCGUUGUAGGAUCAGUUCAAGUUCGGUGUAACCUUAAUUAAUUGCCCACUCAGUUUUUUCCUACAUGGGAUUAAUUCUUACCCAUUUAGGGCCUGUUUGGAUGCACAGUAAAAAAUCUUCACGGAAUUUAUAAACUAUAGUUUUGGUCCAAAUGAAACAGAGAAUCCUGUAACUCUAAAAAAAUUCCACGGAUUAAAUUUUUAAAUUGUUUGGACGCGCAUUGUGCAAUUUCACGGGAUUUCUCUAAAUUUUAAAAUUAAAAGUUAAAAUUUCAAAUUUCAACUUUCAAUGAAAUUUAAAAUUUCAAAUUUGAUAUGUGAAAUGUGAAAUUUUAAAUUCUAAAUUUUAAAAUUUGAAAAUUAAAAAUUAAAAAUAUAAAAAUCUAAAUUUAAUUUUAAAAUUUUGAAAUUUAAAAUUUUGAAAUAAAAAUUUUAAAUUUUAAAUUUAGAAUUUUAAAUUUAAAAUUAAAAAAUAAAUUUAAAAUUUGAAGUUUAAAAUUUGAUAUUUGAAAUUUAAAAUUUAAAAUUUGAAUUUUGAAAACUAAAAUUUAAAAUGAAAUUUGAAAUUCUAAAUUUGAAAUUUGAAAUUUGAAAUUUGAAAUUUAAAAAUUAAAUUUGAAAGUAAAAAAUUUAGAAUUAAAAAUUGAAAUUAUUAAUUAAAAAAUUUAAAAUUUGAAAUUUAUUAUUUGUAAACUAAAAUUUAAAAUUUGAUAUUCGAAAAUUAAAAUUUGAAUUUAUAAAAUUAAAAAAUUUAAAAUUUAAAAUUUGACAUUUAAAUUAUGAAAUUAUAAAAUUUAAUUUUUGAUAUUUCAAAUUUAAAAUUCAAAUUUUAAUUUGAAAUUAAAAAUUUGAAUAUAAAUUAAAUUGUAAAGUUUAAAAUUUAAAAUUUGAAAUCUAUGUUGAAAUUUAAAAGUUAGAACUUGAUGCAUCUUUGCCCAAGAAUGGUGGAAUUCUUUUCCUUUGGUUAGAGUGGAUUAUAAUUUUACUCCCUUUUUUGGAGUAUAGUUAAUUACGAUAUUUUUUUUUUCUCCCAAACGCUUCAUAGGAUAAAUUUCCUACCGGUGUAGCAUAGUUUAACUAUGCUACGUUUCUAAGGGUAUCCAAACGGGGCCUUAGACUUUUCGUUCAGAUUUCAUCAAUGGAGCUUUAUGUUUGCGUUUUGGGUUCGAUUUAAACUUUAAAAUCUAUUAAACCCCAGCUGGUCUAACUUAUAGCCAGACUGCUGAGCCACUUUACCCAUGUUAUUCCUGGUCGGAUCUAAGUCGAUCUAUCAUAUAAAUUGAGAACUUCUGCUGACUUUUUGGGAUUGACAAUUGAUAUUGUCUUCCUAUUGCUGGUUAUUCUGCUCCUCCUCUUGUGUUGUCCGUGCCAUGGACGAACUGUUACUCUCCCAUUGCCUUCUUGCUGUUUCUGCAUUGGGCACUUUCCCUUCUCUUUUCCUGUUGCCCUAUAUUGGGUUUUCUCCUCCUCUACACCUUCCUCUCGCUGCCGUUUAUCGCUAGCGUCUUGUGCUGUUGUCCUUUCAAAUUAUAGGCUCAUUGAUGGUGGUUUUGGGUCAGAAUUGAGACGGGCUGAACCAUAAUUUGUUGUGAAUUAAAAAUAUUAUUUCGAGAUGACUUUCUGAAGAUAAAAAAAGUCCUACGGGCUCUGAGCACCCCGAUAUGUUCUUUCAUUCGUCGAUUUAUUUAUUUUCAUCUUGGCACUUAUUAGUAUUGCAUCAGAACAUUUACUUUCAGAAUGAUAUAGCUUUUAUUCGAGUUAUUAUAUUUCUGGCUGCAUUAAUUACUAUUUGUGUGUGCAGGUCAAUUUUCCCACAGCAUAUGUAAAUGUAAAAGUGUACUCGCAUUGUACCUAGAGCUUUUCCCAAUUCCUGGAAUUGUUCAUUUAGUCUGUCCCUCCUCAAUUUUUCACGGUCAGCUUUCUGAACUUUGCGUGCAGAAAUAGAACUUCUGGCUUCAUAUUCUACCCUUUGGCUGAAAAAUGUUAAAGCAGCUAAUUAGUACAUCAAUGUUCAGAAAGUGAAUAGCAAUAGAGAAUAAGUCUUGUUGACAUAAAAUCAUAUGCAUUCAUAACAGAUAACUCUUAAGAAAUCCUUUAAUUUUCAUUAUUUAGGAGUUGUCAAAAAAGAAAAAACAGCUGCAUUAGCAAUCCAGCCACUUUACUUUGGCAGCGCAGAAGAUAAUAUUGAAUUAAACCCAGAAUUAAAUGUUGCUAACUCGACAAUCCAAUUCUCAAAGUUCUAAACUGAAAAGCUAUUUCAUCAUAAUAAGUAAGAUUAUUUUCUAAUAUUUCUCAAUUUUGAGAUGCCUUGAUUGCUAAAUCUGCCUAGCCACCUCUAGCAUCUAGGAACUUUGUCCUCCUCCGAGCGUUUGCAUCCUAUAGUCUAAGUUGCUCUUAGCUAAAGACAACCCUUCUUAAGCUUCCCUUGCAUAUAAAAACGUUUAAAGAUGGCUACAGCAGGUUAUCAAGAAACUACUGAACAAUUGUAUAGUAAGCAGGUAUACAUGCAGGUGCUUAUGCAUCUCAAUUGAAAACUACUUAUGUUAAUAGCCAUACACAAGGAGCAGGUAGGAACUUAAGUUAUCAAUAAACUUCAAUAGAAUUACAAAAUAUGAAUACAUAUGUGUAAGCAUUUUUUUUUUUCGGUUCAUGCGUGCAAGUACAUGUAGUAAAAGUACCUACAAAUAUUGACGUAAGCGCAAGUAUCUAUGGUAUAAACAUGUAAGAAGAUUUUCAAGGAGAUAAUAAUGCUGAGCGUCAAAUAACUCUAAUGUAGUCUAUAUGCCAUUCUUGCAUAGUUUGUUGGUUUGAAAAUAUAACAGGUAACAACUCAAAUAAAUUUUGCUCAAAAGUUAUAUCACCAACUUAAUGAGCAAGCAAAGAAAGGAAAAAAUGGUUGACGAGAUUAUCAAUUACCAUUUCCUCGUUAAUGUUACCAACUACCAACCAUGUUCAGGACUUUACCAGGAUUAGGUGACUCGAAUGCUAUUCAAACUACAAGUAAAAAAAAAAAAAAAAAUUAGACCAAGGGUUCAUUUGGCCAUGUUGCAGCUCCUGCAAAAGUGAGGACACUUUUCUAACAUUUUACAUAGUAGUAAUAGCUACUCCAGGUGAGAUAAGUAAGGCAGAGACCAUGUGAGAAGAACAUUUGCUUCUCUCACAGCAUCUAAAGCUUUAAGUAGAAGCAAUCCAAUCUAAGUUCGAAUCAAUCCAGAUGCCAAAAUUACACCUUCCAAUGACAAAAAACACAUGAUUUGUCCUCCAAAUUAAUAAUUUUAUCCAAUUCAGCACAACUUUAACCAAAUUUGUUCCUAAAGAUUCAACAAGAAAUAAAGAUCGAGCGAAUUGAACCAAACCUGGGAUUCGGGCACGGGCUCUGCGACCGAUCGGGGCCUGCGUCGCCGGAGCGGCGACGGGAGACCUCGCCGGCGAUCUCCGCCGCCGACGAAUGGUCGGCGGGGAAGAGGCUCUCCGUCGACUUCCACUGAUCCAUCCACGCCCACUCCUCUCCUCUCGCCGGGAAUCUAGGGUUUUGUAUCCCGGAGAGGAGUUGGAGAGAGAGAAAGGGAGGAACUCGUGCUCCACACGAGACAUCCGUAGAAUUAUACGGAUUGCGCCUAUGAGGCAAAAAAAAAAAGGGCUUUUUUAUAAAAUGACCCUAUAGAAUUUUAAUAUUGGCAAAAUGAUCCUGUAAAAAUUUUAUUUGUAAAACUAACACUCCUUUCGCCACGUGGGCGCCACAUCAGCAUUUCUCGCAAAGACGGUGAACGAUUCACCGUCUUUGCAAAUUGCUCGUCAAGCCGGUGAAUGGUUCACCGUCUUCUAAAGGCGGUGAACCAUUCACCGCCUUUAGUGUAUAACCCCUCCCUCCGCUCCCCCUUAGUGCCCUUGAGAAGGCGGUGAAUGGUUUACCGCCUUCUCAAGGCGUGAACCAUUCACCGCCUUCUCAGUGCCCUUGCCCGCGCUUGCUACCAAGCUUAAUUUAGCGAAGUCCCAGAGUGCGGGCUAAAGCACAGAUAAGACGGUGAAUGGUUCACCGUCUUAUCUAGGCUGCACUCGGUGAAUACGGCCAUGUCAUAGAGAAGGCGGUGAAUGGUUCACCGUCUUCAUAAAGCGGUGAACGAUUCACCUCCUUAUGAAGACGGUGAACCAUUCACCGUUUUCAUUAGGUAUACCUAGGAGGCCCAGACCGAGCCCGGCACCUCUCCCUCCCUCUUCGCUCUCUCUUUCUCUCUCUAUCUCUCUGUCUCUCUCUCCCUCUCUGCCCAUCCCUCUCUAGGAGCCACCCCCGGUCGCCGCCGCCCCUGCCGUCAUCGUCGCCGCCGGUCGCCGUCGACCCACGCAUCCGGCGGCCGUGCUGACCUCCCUCAGCAACCCACAUAGGUCUUCAUCUCUGCCUCCCUCUCUCUCUCUCUCUCUCUCUCUCUCUUGCAUAUCAUGUGGAGUAUAAUAAAAUGGGGUUUACUUUAUUUUUCUAUUUGUCUUUUAAUGCUGGUUGUAAAUGUAUAUGUAUAUGUAUAUAAAUGUAUAUGUAGAUAUACUGGUUGUAAAUGUAUAUAAUGAUGGUAAAUGUAUAUGUAUAUGUAUGUUGAUAUGGCAUUUUGAACCUCCCUUAGCAAGGUUUAAACCCAGUAUAAAAUAUGUUUAAACCUAGUUUAAACAUUCAUAAGAAAAAAAAAAAAAAAUCAAACAAGUAUCUAUUGUUUCGUCGCGGUUUUGGCAUGUAGUUGAAUGGUUUUGGCAUGUUGAUAUGGCAAGUGUCUAUUGAUUCACCGUCUUUGUUUCUUAUUUGGCAUCUAAUCCAACACACAUGGCCUUGCGAAUGCCAUUUAUUGCUUCUUUUUUCUGUGUAGUUAAAAUGGCUAGUCGUCGGAUGUCUCUUAGUGUUCAUUGGGAUGGACAAUUAGUUAUGGAUGGAAAUGGUCUCCGAUAUUUCGGUGGUCGAAAGAAAUUGAUUGCGAUUCGUUCAGAUACGACCUAUGCGAAUUUUGAGAGGAGAAUGUAUUGUUUAGUAAAUUGUAAUAGAGAAGAAUGUUGUCUUAAAUACAUAAUUCGAUGCCGUACGGGAGCGAAUGAAUAUAUUGCUCAUGAUAUAGCAGAUGAUGAAUCAUUGGAGGGAUUAAUUGGAUUGUUUGAACAUUAUGGAUGUGUGUCGCUAUACAUCGAGAAAGAUUUAUAUCCGCCGGAGACACAAUAUCAGUCGCAAGGCUAUUACACAAGCCUGCUACAUAAUGAUAUCGAUGUGGGUUUUUCGGAAUAUCCAAUUGGUGACAGUGAAGUUGGUGAUGAACCAGGCGUAAGAAUGACAAUAUCAGUAAUAUCUCAAGAUUGCGGUGAAUAUUUCCUUUAAUUAUGAAAUAUUUUGAUAAAUGCCAAUUAUAAAUACUGCAGACAGAGUCAGUCUCCACGUGCGCAACCCUUGACCUCACGUGCUCAACCCUCGACUUCACGUGCUCAACCCUCGACGUCACGUGCUCAACACUUGACGUCACGUGCGCAACCCUCGACUUCACGUGCGCAACCCUUGACGUCACAUGAGCAACCCUCCACGUCACGUACGCAACCCGAGACUUUACGUGACGAACCCAUGAUAUUUCAUAUACCUAAUGAAAAUUACGAUUGGGGGUUAAGAAAAUUAAGAUUCUUUUUUAAUUAAUAGUAAGUGAAAUUUUACCGUCUUAUAGUAAACAUUCGGGACCUAUUGCAGGCUAUAUACGUCCUAUACAAAUUGGAAUGAAGUUCUUGAUAAUAUUGUCGAUGAAGGAGAUGAUAAUGAUGGUAAUCAGUUGGAUGCACCCAUUGAUGAUGACGGUAAUCAGGAGGAUGCACCCAUUCAUAAGGACGACGAUUGGAAUGAUCUAGCUGCUGACAUUGAAGAUGAUCACGAUAGUGGAUUAAAUUGCGUUGCGAAUGCCAUUUAUAGUUUGAAUGACGACCCACAUGUAAACAACGAAUAUAUAGAGAAUCCUGACGAGGAACUUGAUUUUAUUGACCAUCCGGAGCAAUUUCCUAUAGAUAACAAUUGGAUACAACAGUAUUUUGUGAAUUCGAGUGAGUUCGAUGUUAGACGUACACCAAUACCGAUCUACCUAGCAUUAACGGGACUUGGCUUCGUCAAAUCUUUUAUGAGAAGUCAUCUUUAGUGGACGCUCUAGAUCAAUGGCACAUUACUCGGGCUAGAUCAGGAUGCUUGGAAGUGGGUCGAUGAGCUCGAAGUAUACAAAGAAUAUUGGGCAUGGGCAUUUGAUGGAGGGCGACGCUUCGGGUUGAUGACCACCAAUAUGUCCGAGAGUUUAAAUGGGGUACUUAAGGGAAUUCGUGCUCUGCCUAUAACGGCAUUUGUCGCGGGAACAUUUUACAAACUUAAUAGUUAUUUCCUAAAGCGUCGUGAAAAUGGUGACACUGUGACGUCCACGUUAGCACCUAAAAUACAAAGUCAGAUUUUGAUGAAUAUGGUGACGGCGCGGGGACACAUUGUAUAUCAAUUUGGGCCUGUUGAGUUUGAAGUCCAAAUGGGACAUUCCAAUUACAAUGUUAUCUUGAAUGGACCAGAUGCGGACUGUGAUUGCGGCGAAUUUAAGCUAACGGGCAUACCUUUCUCGCAUCUUUUAGCAGUUUGCAGUAAUUCGGAAAGAAGAAUAGAUUAUCAUAAUCUAUGUUCCCAUUGGUAUACUAUAGAAUGUUAUCGCCAGACAUACACACCGUAUUUCCAUCCAGUUUCAGACAGGCGACAGUGGCCACGACCACAGGGCCCACCAAUUGUACCGCCUCCCGUGAGAAGGAAGAAAGGUCGACCACGAUCAACACGUAUUCGUAAUAUACUGGACGAAACCAGUGGGCGACAAACAAAAUGUAGCAUUUGUAAGCAGGGAGGUCAUUAUCGAAACACUUGUCCACAGAAUACAGAGAGAGCACAACAAGGACGUCGACGUAGGACUUGUUACCUAACUUACUAGUAUUUAUAAUAUUUUCAAUAUUCAAUGCGCUCUUUGCUAAUAUAUUACUAAUUACUGAAUCUUUAAAAGUGCAGAUGGCAGAUCUAGAGGAGGCGGGACCGGUUGAUGAGUCUAACCUGACAGAGCAACAUCUCCAAAGGUGUCACGCCCCGCUCCCCACCAAUUAGGUCGGGUUUAGGCCACGUCAACAGACGCCGAACGGACAGCACCUCCCCUGUCCGCCCAAAGCUCCAACAACAAGUAUAAUUAAACAAUUCAAACAACGAGAUUGCAAUUAUAUAAAGCUUGCACGAGGGCAAGCAACAACUACAUAAGUGAAAGUAAACUAUCUAUUACAUUCAUUCAUUGUAAUUUGAUCACUUUUAAUCAAAUACAAAGCUUGUACCUUUACUUUACAUUCAUUCAUCCAAUUUACAUAACCAUCUCUCAAAUGGAUUAAUUACAUUUCAUAUACACUUUACAUUCAUCGACAUAAUAGAUGAAAUAUACAAAGGGUGGCUCUAUACACAUCGGUAGUCCGCUACCUAGAGCACGAUAACCAUGCCACGAACCAUAAUCGCCCCGUUCGCGCUAGAACCUGUAUGGUUAGUGGGAUGAGAACUACAACAAAGUUCCCAGUGGGUUCAGCAACCGACCUUGCCGACUUACCCACUAGGUCUAUUUAGGCAUAUAUAUUUCAAGAAAGAAAGAUAGCAAACCAACUAAUGCUACUACUAAUACAAUGCCUGCAAGAAAACUGGUCAAUAAAUAGAUAAUCAUAUGUAUGAUAAAUGCAUGCAUGCUCUUUUAAUAAAUAUACUUUGGCUUUUACCCAAUCUUACCGGUUAACCUUGUUAACCCCAAUAACUCACAACCCAAAAUUCCUUAAUAGUGCGGGACUCGAACCACCCUAGGGAUCGUCCUCUGGGGGGGACUUUACCAUGCCCAGUGGUGACCAACUCCGGAGCGCACCGCCCGAGGGGGAGCUACCUCCCUCAAGCCAAGACUUAUCGUGAGUAUCGAUUAAAUCCUCAACUUGAGGAUACAUAGCCACUAGUCACAAUGCCAUUGUCAUAAUAGGUUUCUACCUAUUUAAUUGUUCAUGCCACUUUCUAAAUCAUACUUGUCACCAUGCCGUUAUGCCACUAUAUCAAUGAUAGGUCUCUACCUUAUCAUUUAUGCCACUGUCUAGGCUACACUUGCCAUAAUGCCAUAAUUGGUUAAACUAUGUUUAACAAUUCAUCUCUCAAUGCCAAUCUUGUCUCUAUUGUCAAUGUCACCUUUGUUUACUAUUGUCAAGUCCAAUUCUCGCAUUCAUACAAUCUUUAGGGUUCUACCAUACAUAUCCAUUAUGGUUCUAUCAUUCUCUAUGUUCAACUACGUUAGAAGCAUAUAAAUGAAGUCAAACCAAGGUUCACUUGUAAACUACCCUAUUAUGCAUGAAUGGUUCUAUACUUGUAUAUGCUCAACAAAAGUGAAAUAGACAUAAAGGGAAAUCCGAUGAUUCCGGUGUGCACUCCCCACCUUGUAGGAAUGCCAAGAAGUUACGGUUCAAUUUUCGUAAUUUUUGGGCGUCUAUUCCGCGUGCUGCGGCUAUCUGUAUGAAAAACGACAUUUUGUCAAUAACUUUGCGUACAUUCGUCGGAUUGUCGAACCGAGCACACCAACGCGUUUGUUAUACCCCUAAUUAGGUUUGUAUAGGCUCAUAUUAGAUUAAAACCCUACUUGAGCAAAACCCCUCUUUGAAUUGCCCAAAUAUGACAUAUAGUUCAAAUCCUUAAAUUGAUCUUAGAGCUAAGCAAAAACUAGCUUAGAAUCAUCUAAGAACUCCUCUAAAAUCAUUUCUAGGUUAUUCCAUUCAUUCCCAGGGCAUAAAACAUGAACCCAAGCAAACCACCACGUAAGCACUUGAGCAAAACAUGGAUUUCCACAUGUUCUACAGUCUUUACUAGGUUUCUAACCAUGUGAGAGGAUAAAAUCUCUGAGAUUUAGGGUACAAGAUCAAACCCUAGCAUCAUCUUUUCAUAAGAACUCACCUUAGUCCAUUAACUCUCCAAUAUCCACCUUGUAGGAGAGACCAACACCUUCAAAAGCUCCAAAUCUCCUCCCAAUCCUCCUUUAAUCCACCUUGUAGAGAGCUUUUAGAGAGAGAGGGAGAAAAUGACAGAGGAGUGUAAUCUCAGCUUGCUGUGAAGAGAAGAGAAGGUUUGGAUCUUAUUUGGGCUGCUACAAUUGCAGUUAGGCCCUCCAACUCUCCAAUUCUGUAGCAGGCUGCGCCUGCGGUCCACCGUGCACUGUACCGGUACACGAAAUCCUGUCACCGGUACAACGGCCUUUUUCUGUGGUCCAUGGUGCACUGUACCGGUACACAAAAUCCUGUCACCGGUACAUAGCCUUUUUCUACUCAACCCGAGAGCUACUUCUCUCGGUUUUACACUAUGUACCGGUACACUUUUGAUGUUAAACCGGUAACACAACUCCAGAUUUCAGAUUUUCGCAUCUUUUCGAUUCUAUUUCGCUUCGAUAAAUGCUAAAACAUUUCUAACUCUUUUAAACUCAUUUUAAACUCUUCCAACCUUGUUGGAACGCUAAAUGGAACUUGUCCAACCAGUUCUCUCGGCACUUUAACCCAAUUUGGGUAAAGUCCAAUAUUCUCUACCGAGUUUUGGUAUGUUACAUUCUCCACCCCUUAAAAUUAGUUUCGUCCGCGAAACUAACACAUACCUUAGCUCAUCGACUCAAAUAAGUGAAGAUACAUCUUUCGUAUCGUCUCCUCAAGCUCCCAAGUGGCUUUACCCGCCGCAUGGUUGCCCCACUGGACCUUAACAUAUGGAACUGUUCGAUUCUGCUGUUUUCUUUCCUCCAAAUCGAGAAUGCAAAUCGAAUAUUCCUCAUUAAUCAUAUCCUCGCGCAACUCUUCCGGUUCAUACUCCGAUAUGUGAGUUGAACUACGAAUAUACUUGCUGUUAAGGAUUUUAUAGGUUGGCGGAUUUCGUAAUGUUGAAUGGAGUCUUGAAGAGUUGAUUGCGGAAGAUUGAAGAAAGAUCUAAAUUGAAGAACAAAGACUCGUAAAGUUCGGCACCUAAGGUAUGAAGAAAAGAUCAUUUGUGGUGAAGAUACUUAAUUAGAAUAAGUUCAGAAGGCUUAGAUUGCUUUAAAAAUAUUUUACUGAACUUUCUGUGUUCAGGGACCGGUCCCUGAGAGCAAUCCGGUACGCUGCACCACCGCCAAUACAGACACCUGCAGCAGUAUAAGCAUCUACAAGAGAGCAAGUCGAUAGAGUACCAAGAAGAGUCCUAUCCUUGAUAUCAGACAAAUGCACGAAGUCAGUAUAUUAUCAGUAAGAAGAACAAAGGAAAUACAAUCCAAAUUCGAGAGAGAGAGAACGUAUCACAAAGUGCACGUUCCACGGUCAACGUAAGUACAUAUUAGAUCAGCAGAUAUUGCACAAAAAUGUACGAUAGGAUACGAGAUGGUGGUUUCUCUAUGACCCGAGAAGGACCAGUCACCUCCCGGUCGUGGAGCCCGAGUAGCAAUGUCGUGAUCGACUAGUAUCCUCAUAGCAAAGCGUUCUAGCUAGAGCGACUCCCUUCGCCACGAUCCCUACCGCCUCCCUCUGCCCGCACCCGAUGGCUCUGUAAUAAACAACCACGCAAAAGGCGUGAGAAUAUUAACGAUCAGUUCCCAGUGGGGUAACCCGCCAGCCCUCCGCGACCAUUACCACUAGGCCUCAUCGCUUUACUGGAACGUAAUAAAAGGAAAAAAAACAAAACAAGACAAAAAGAAACAAUCAGUCGCAAUAUAUAAAUAUGCAGUGCUAACCGGCUUAACCCAGGCAUGUAUUUCAACAUUAAACAAUCCAUUUUGCAGUAACUGCAUCAACGUGAAUAGCAUGAGAAAAUUCACAAACCUACUGAUAAACAUGAGAAUAAACAUAAAUCAACGAAGGUAAGGUUACUGUACACUAUAAUGAUGCUCAUGUCAUUACUAUAAUUAUCAUUUUCACUUCAUUUUCAUUCACAUCGGACCUACUCAAGUAGGCCAGUUCGGGCGGCGCCUGAAUGGCCCCCGUUAGAUUAUACUCCACGGCAGAUCCACUUCGGCACGACAGGUAGGCCGCACGGCGAGUGCAGACUGUCGCGGUAGGCCCACUCCAGAGUGGUCAGCUAUGUAAGGGAGCUACCCUCACAACGUAUGCGAAUGAGCGAGAAUGGAAGCAGAGCAAAGUCCAUUGUCCAACAUGUCAAGAUUUUCCUUAUUUUCAUUGUAAGGUUUUACCUCCUCUCCUCUGAUGGUGAUAUUGUUCAAUAACACCCCAAAUAAGUGAAAGAUCUAGUAAUCACUAGAUUGUAAACUAUGUGAAGGGUAAAGAGCUUAAAUCACGAACGUGUCAUAUGAAUUUUCAUAGUAUGGCAGCUAUCGAACGAUAGUCAUUGGUGAGCGAUGGGUCAUAGUGUCGUCUGAACGCUUAGAGGUCAAGAGAAGUCAGGUUGUUCUCGCUACUGUUGAAAGUGCCGCCCACAGCUUGUGAUAAUCAUUCAAUCUGGUAUUGAAUUACGAAUAUAAAUACUUCAUUAUAUAGUCCUACUUUUAUGAGAUUUCAUUCACUUAAGCAUCGGAGAGUCUAGAUAUGCAUUACUCAAUGCACCUAUGACGAUUAUUCUAUCUAAUAGAUAACUAUGAACUAGGGAGGGGGGGGGACCACUUGAUCUGUUAGGUCCGACCCACCGUAAAGUACUAUUAACAAAGUCACAAAGAAGUCCAAGAUACAGCUCACUGGUCGCAAUCCUGCUGCAAACAAACAGAAGCUAACAUAUCGUAUUCAAAAAUUACGAUGCGAAAUGUCAAUUUUCGGCGCAAUUACAACUUAGUACAUUGUAAUAGCUGAAAUCCCUGUUUGGCUCAAUAAAUACCUCAAGUUAAGCUUUGCCAAAAUCCUCACGUAUCAGCGGAGGUAGAUAGCCGAAGGUCCGUUCAAAGCCCGCUGCGAACUAUUUCCAAAAACGCAACAAAGUCGUCAAUGCUACAAUAAUAGUCGGAAUCAUGCGAAUCAGUUUUCUAACUGAAAUUCCAGCUUUAACCCUUAGUUGAGUACCGUUCAAACUAGCCUCCCUGUCCGCAAUUAAACCUCCCCCAAGGAGUUCGAGAAACUGCUGCGAAAGAACAGUCCAAACUAACAUCAAUUCACUUAUUAAUUCGCGUAUAGCUUCGAAGUCAACUAAUUACUACAGCAUGCUUCAAACAAUUUUCUCCUGAGCUAAUAGUAGGAAUUCACAGUCAAAAAUAACAUCCCUUUACUGCAGGUAAAACAACCUCUACUUAUAUGAGGAGAGAGCGAGGCAGCGCGGGGGGAGGAGGCAAGCGUAAAAGGAGCGUCAAAAUACGAACCGAUAAAGCUACGAGAGGAGAGAUCAGAUGUGGAUAUACGAUCAAUACUAAAGGCUGGAAUCAGCUGCCGCCGUAGUAUAAGGGGGCUCACAAGAAACAGCAGAGACGAAAACUCCUUUCCCCCGCACUGCUGGAAGCCUUCCUUCAAGUCGCCAAAUCAAUCGCGUAGAGCGGGCAACGAAAGCGGAGGAGCGGUCAACCGAAAACGGCGCGAAUCGGAGGGAGCGUUUCCUCUUAGAGAGAAAAAAAUCUAGAGAGAGAGAGGAAAAAACAUGAAGAAGAAGGGCUCGCCCUGAGCCUCAAGACCGUCCGAUGAGCUCCAAGAAUCGUCUGGCUUCAUAUGGAUGAGAUAAGAUGAUGAAAAGACUAAACAUAAGCCUUGCUGCCACGAAUCUGCAGCUUGUACCUGGUACAAGGUGAUGUCUGUACCGGACAGCAAGCAGAAAGAGCUGAUUUUCCGAGACUCAAUGCAAUUAUCUCACUCUUAUGCCGUAGUGAGCCAAGAGGCAUCGACGCUAUACUGAUUGUGUCAAAGAGAAACUUUGUCCAGUCAAUUUAGAGACAUGUAGAAAUAGUGUCCCACUUCAAAUCCACACACGCUGGACACUGGCAUUUGCGAAGUCCCAGUGUAUUACAUUCACCCCUUCUAAGAAAGCAGGUUUCGGGCCAGCGAAAUUGUAAGCACUUACCAUCAAAUCUAUCGAGAAAUAAAUAGGAUAAGGCUCUUGCAUGUACCUCCACAGUGUCCCAAGAUGCUUCGCCGUUCAUCAUGAUUGUUCCAUAAGGAUCUUUACGUAGGGGAUUCGGCGGUUUCGAAGAACCGCUUUACCUCGAGCUAGUAUCUCACUGGAUGCUCCUCGAAGCUCAAACUUUCAUGUAAAUCACUGGUAGUACUCAUCCAAUAUAUGAGUUGAUCAAAAAACAUAUUUCCGUAUCGAGUAGAAUACAUGAAAUACAUCGUGGAUCAGAGAGACUCGGCCGGCAAAGCAAGCCGAUCACGCUACGGCCUAUCCGCUCCAGACACCUCGUAGGGUCCAAUGAUCGGGCACUUAACUUCCGUCGAAACACAAAUCUCUAAGCUCCCUUUGUUCGGUGCAUUACUUUUAGAAAUAUCGUGAUGCGCCAACGUAAAUUCAGUUCUCGCCGACAUUUAUCCGCAUAAGCUCUUUUGUUCGAUUUUGGUGCUUCAAUAGACGUGUCUCCGUGGCAAGCGAGACUUUGGCUUCACGCUCCUGUAGUACAUCUGGUAAACUUAAUCUUUCCCCACUUCGCUCCAAUGAAGUGUGAUCUGCACUUUCUACCGAUAAGGGCUUCAAAAGUGCCAUCGGAAAUACUUGCGUGAUAACUGAUUGUUAUAGCAAAUUCCCGCAUGUAGGUACUGAGGCCAAACUGGCCGUUGAUAAUCCCUCACGACACAGGCCCGCAACAUGUCUUCAAGGUCUAGAUGGUACGCGUCGGAAUGCCACAUGGUGCACCUGGGGGUGGAAAAGCCAGUACUAAAAUACCAAUCAGGGUACCCAAAAGCUUCCUGAAACCUCCAGACAUGUGUGAAAACGAAAAUCGGGCUGCUCUCGUCUUGAAAUAAUCACAGAAGCAGGUACUCUCCGUGAACGCACAAUUUAUCCCAAGAUACACUUGUGCGAUGUCUCCCCCCCUACCACGCGUAUGAAUUGGAAUAAAGUGGGCAGAUUUAGUCAAUCGAAUCGCACAAUACCUCAAAUGCAUCGUGACGCCCGCUGUUGAGCGAGGUAAAUCCAACGAUGAAAUCCAUAGUUGAUCCUCAUCCCACUUCCACCUGGUUAAAGGUAAGCCUGAAGUUUCCCAGAAUCGAUGUUCAGCUUUAAACCUGCUGACCAAAUAAGCACUUGCCAACGUAGUCUGCAACUUCCUUUUUCAUGUCCAGGCCACCAGUAGUACCUUCAAUGCCUUAUAUCAUUUUGCGUACUUCGGGUGUACAGUACAACCGGAGCAGCCGAUGUGCUUCUGCUAGAAAUUCUUCUUUAAUACCAGAAUUUGCCGGUACAUUCAGACCUAUCAACCGAAUUCAAAUAAGCCUGAUAUCUACUCGAAAAUCAUAUCAUGACAACAGUGAUCUUUAUCUCGAAUCUUCGCAAGAAUUCAUCUGAGUUUGCUUUUCCUUAAUUCGAUCAAUCAGUGGUAGGUUGGCAAGUAACUAAUGGAUAUAAGUCUGCCAAGGCGUAUCAGGAGCUAACAACUUCCAAAUUCAAUUGCUCAUUUCCUUUACCAAAUGGUUGCAUUGUUAUCGAGAUCGCCAAAGUUUCCGUCGAUUUUCGACUAGAGCAUAACUGCACUAAACAAUUAGCUUUUCCAGGAUGAUAAGAUGGUCAAUCAUAAUCGCUUGAGUAACUCCAACCAUCUACCGUGUCUCAAGUUUUAAUUUCUUUCUGAGUUGAACAGAUACUUAAGCUUUUAUAUGAUGGUCACUUACGCGACCCGCCGUAGAGAUAGUGGCGCCAAAGCUUUAGAGGGGAAUACCAACAGCUGCUAACUCAAAUCAUGUGUAGGUAGUUCUUUUGCAUAAUUCUUUCAUUGGCGAGAAGCAUAAGCAUUACUGCCAUUUUGCAUUUAAUGAACAACCCUAAUCCUUCAGUGAUGCUCUGUUACAUAAUCCACUCCGUAACAGGCAAAACGCCAGAAUCGGCGGUAGUCAAACCGUUCAUCAACGCAUCACACAAUCAACGCCUCUUUCGCAGGCUCAUCAUCAAAUUCUUCUAUCUGUAAGUCGACGUGGGGUAGACAUUUUCGCAACUACCACCGCAACUGCUUCGAUAAUCAUCUGGCCAGAGCAGAAACUUCGAAUUCAGUGACACUGGUCGGUCCUACGGCCAAUCUUAUCGCUUCAACUUCUUGGGACUCCACAGCUAUCCCAGUUUCUGACAUCACAUGGCCAGAAAUGCCACUUCUCGAAGCAUUCUGCAUUUCUUUAGCUUGGGCAAAUAGUUCUUUUUCGAGUAUGUACACCAUCUCCAAAUGGUUUCAUGCUCCUUGUCACUUCGAGAAUAUAAAGAUAUCACAAUCAACAUACCACGAAAUCUGCCAAACUAGGGCUUAAAGACAACGGUUCAAUUAUAACUCCAUAAAGGCUGCUAGGGGCAUUAGUCAAUCCAAAUACGGCUGCGUAAAUCAUAAUGCCAACCGUGUUCUAAAAGCAGUCUUAAAACAUCUUCAGGCUUAAUCCAUUGAGCUGAUGAUAGCCCUGAUUGCAAAUACGACUUUCUGGGAGUAUACUUUCGAUCCUUGCAGCUGAUCGAAUAAGUCAUUUCAAUUUCUAGGCACAUGAUAUUUUAUUCUUGACUUGUGACUUUGUGAUUUCUCGCAUAGUCCACGCACAAUCUGAAGAGAUCUCAUCCUUUUUCUUGAACAUAAUUAACACCGGUGCUCCCAGGGCGAAACACUCGGUCGAACAACAUCCUUUAUCUAACAAUCUUGUAAACUGUGCCUAAUCAGCUACGUUCAAUUGCAGCGGGGUGCAAUCCUAGGGCGGGCUUUAGAACUAUGGGUAGUCCCAGGGACAAGGUCAAUACACAAGACUCAACUUCGCCUAUCCAGGUGGCAUGCCCGGCAAUUCAGCUUGGGCAACACAUCCCAAAUUCCUCGCACAACGGGAUAUUCAUCAAUCUGGGACGCUUUCUUCCGUCACUCACUAGAAAUGCAGCCAAAGAGGCUACGCAUCCUCAUCCGAAUCACUGUCGUGCUCGCGAAGAGCAAUGGUCAUUGCGAACUAAUGAACUCUGAACCUUAUAAACAAACUCCGUUGACCGGUUCCCUAAAAGUCACAACGUUUCCUGUUCGUUGCCAAUCUUGGUGGCAUAAUACUGUGUCACACCAACCAUACCCAAUUACUGACAUUCAAACUCACCCUAGUUGUGUAGUGCCAAUAAUCCACUGGCAGUAAUCCAGUGCGCCUAGACCUAACUGGGCAGCGAGGGCAAAAACUCACGAAUCAUCAAGGUAAUGGUCAGGUACAUCACCGUCCCAGAUGCAAAAGUAGGUGCUAAAGGAAGACUAUUGCAACUCGGCAAACUGGGCCGACAAUAAGAAUGCGAAGCACCCAUUCAAAUAAUGCACAACACAAUUCAUACCAAGCAUAAUAAUACCGUCUUGCUACGACUCUCUGUGCGGGGCGCGGCGCCCUCGUCUGGGCGCAUACUCCGCCACCGUCAGAACCCCUGCUGGCUAAACUCCUCCGACUGCCGCUGUCUCCUGCGGUCCGCCUGAGACGUAUAGCGCGCGGUCUGCGGUCCCCUGACUCGGAGCUGAGACUGGCAGGUGCAACGCUCGCGGACGAGGGUGCAUGGCAAACGACUCACUCGGCACUCUGGAAGCGAAAUGGCCCUCCUGGCCGCAAAGAAAAGGCACCUGCCCAGCUGUGGACAUGUGGCGUACGUGAGGCCACCACAAGAUAACACAAAAGCAUGCGGUCGACGACGCCGGUGCUCCAGGGUACGAAGAACCUCGACCCUCGACUGUCCUGACUGUCCGCCUCGGAUACUUUGGGGGUCUCCUAAAGGACUGCUGCGCACUGCUCUCGACUGCAGUCUCUUCCCUUUGCCUUAAAUGCCACAAACAUCCUCUUUCCUCUUCAUUAAUCUCUGCCCCUUUCUCGACGAUCAAGCCCUGCGUUCACUACAUCCCGUAAGUGGAGAGGUUUGUUGACGCUGGACCACGAUCGAAAAUCGCGCCGCAAACCUACCUCAAGAGACUACGAGCCUUGUCCUCAUCAUCGUCGAACUACACCAAGGAACGCAGUGGCAGUAAUCCGGGAGAACUUUCGCCUCGUGACUCUGCAUGCCCUGUCCCCCCCUGCCAGCAGGUUUUACUCAGAUCCUUUCCAUCUGUCUCUUAACACUCUGAGGAAAGUAUGUUAGUCAAUAACAAUUCCUUGAAUCUGUCGCACGUGAUACAGACAAAUCAGACCACGGGGAUCUCACGAAAUGUCACCAGCACCUGUAAGCCUCAGCCAUCAAGGUGGUGUGUCGCAAACACAAAGCUCGGUAACUGCUCGCUCAACAAAGUAUCAUAAAAUAAUAGCUUUCAAUUGUGCAGGCAGCCAUCUUUCAACUACCCAAUAUCUGUUUUCCUCGCCGUCAGAAGAUACGAGGGUUGCAGCGAUCGGAAUUCAUCUGCAGUCGUCCAUCAUCCGCUUCCUCCUCAACCCCCACCAUCUCAGGUAAGACUGUCCCACGAUGGCUGCUACAGGUACUGGUGGUGUACUCACUGUCUCCUGUCGGGUCUCUACCUCGGAGCUACUGGGGUGUGUUCAAGUAGCAGGUACUGCUGCUCUCACUGUGGUGCCCCUCUCUGGUGCUAUAGGUACAGAAUCAUGGAAGUACAGAAUCUGGAAUCUCUGUCAGUCGUCUGUCGAAGUAAAAGAUCCUCUAACCUCUCGUCAUCCCUAUCGCUCCUGUCGACAACGCCACAGGCAUCAUUGCUGUCUGUGCCCUGCUGGGCAGCUUGCUGAGUAAACCCAAAUCCGUCACAUCGCAACUGACCUGUAAAUGAUCCACUAGAAUCCUAAAGUAAGCAGAUCCGCCACUUCCAUAAUGCAUCCGCCGCAUAGCUGGCCCGGCGGCUUUGCGAACGAAUCAACGGCAUCUUAUGCCGCAAGCACAAAAACAACAUAGGCAAUAAACCCUAUAUACUAAACCCCUCAUUGAGGAAUACAACAGCCACUCACAUUAGCGAAGAAGAGAUGUAACAGCAUCUAAUCGUCCCGAUGUACACGUUGUCCGGGCCAACGACGCUCUGCACAGUUAGUACUGCAGCAUUCCGAUCAAGACCCUACUAUUCGGAGUUUAUAAAAUACCAACUAAAGUUACUUUCGCUAACGAAAACCUCGACUAGGACAUCGUCUCUCACGAGCCUAUCGCUUAUAGUCCAACCAGCCUAAGGUUUGCUAGGUCUACUAAGACUCAACCCUAGGCUCUGAUACCACUAUAACUGUCAACGCGCCGGGUACAGCGAAGCAUAUCCGGACUGCACCAGACCCGGCCAGUACCCCCCCACCUGCAGCAUAUAAGCUCUACAAAGAGAGCAAUGUCGAAUAGAAGUACCAAAAGAGAGUCCUAUCCUGAUAUCACGCAAUGCACAGGAGUCGAUAUUUAUCAGUAAAAGAACAAAGGAAAAUACGAUCCAAAAUCUCGACAGAAGAGAAAGUAUACACAACUGGCAGUAUCACCAGUCCAAGUAAACAUAUACCUCACGAGUAUAUCAAAAAUAAGGAUAGGUACAUGGUAGGUUUCUCUAUAACAAGGGACAUACACCCUCGGUUCGGACCCGAGUAGCAAGGUGAUCGACUAGUAUCUCAUAGCAACAGUCUAGAACUAGACGCGACUCGCUUGCCCACGCAUCCCUAGCCUCUCCUGCAGAUCGGCUUGUAAAACAUACCACCAAAAAGGGCGUGAGAAGUAUUAUACGAUAGUUCCCAGUGGUACAACCGCCAGCCUCGCGAAUUACACACUAGCUUCCUGAUGUAACUGAAGUAAGUAAAAGCAUAAGUGCAUGAUAUAAAAUAUGCAGUGCCUCAACCGUAACAGGCAUGUAUUCAACAUGUAAAGCAUGAUUUCUAGGCAGUAAUGAAUCAACUGAAUAAUAGAAGUUAUCACAACUACUAUAAACAUAAACAUAACCAUAAUCACAGCGAAGUGUAAGAUACUAAACCUGUAGCACUUAUACUGAUGCUGCCAUUCAUUACUAUCAUUAUCGAUUUUCAACAUUUCAUUUUCAUUCACUACGGACGCUCCUCAAGGUAGUCCACUGGCGCCGCGCCUAAUGCCCGUGAUAUACUACUCCCCACGCAAUCACUUCGGCACCGUCCAGUCCGCAACGGGCGAAGCAACCUGUCUGCGUAAGGCCAACUCCGGGUGUCAGCUGUAGGGAGGCUACCCUCUACAAGCGUGUUGCGAAUGAGCACGAAUGGCAAGCAAGCAAAGUCCAUUGUCCACAUGUCUCACAAUUUUCAAUUUCAUUGUAAGGUCUUACCCUCGAUCCUCUCCACUGAUCGGAAUUUCAAUACACAAAUAAGUAACAAAGCUAGUAAUCCACCUAACCGAUUGUAAACAUGUACAAGGGUAAAGCUAAAUCACAUGUAUCGAUAACUUUCACUAUAAUGGCACUAUCAACUAGUCUCAGAGCAUGAUCAUCAGUUCUCGUACGUAGAGCAAGAGAAUAGUCAUUGUUCUCUAACUUAAAGUGCCAUCCACACUUGAUUCAUAAGAUCAUUCACUGUAUGAAUACUAAUAUAAAUAAUUUCAUGUAUGAAGAUGUUUCACAAUUUAUAGAGAUUAUCAUUCAACACUUAAGCCAGCAAUCAAUUCACUCAAUGCACACUAAUGCGAUUUUCUAUUCUAAUAGAUACAUGAUAGAAAAUCAGCCCGGACGCUCCACUUGCUCUGUUAGGUCCGACCACUAGUAUUAACAAUAAGUCACAAGAAGUCCAGAUCAGCUCCAAGCUGUCGCAAUACUCUGCUCAACCACGACAGCAUACAUAUCGUUCAAAUUACGAUCGAAAUGUCCAAUUUCGGACGCAAUUACACUAGUACAUUGUAAUACUGAAAUCCUAGUUUGGCCUUCAAUAAUACCGUCCACAGUAAGCAUUCCAAAAUCCGCUCACUGUAUCAGCCGGAGGUAAUCCGAAGGUCCGUUGGCAAGCCCGCUGGCGAACUUUUCAAAACGGCACAAGUCGUCAUUGCUACAUAUAGUCGGAUCCUUGCGAAUUCAGUUUUCUAACUAAAUUCCAGCUUAGCCCUUAAGUUGAGUACCUCGAACACUAGCCCCCUGGUCCCCAAAUUAACACCAAGGAGUUCGAGAAACUCGCUGCGAAAAGAAAAGUCCAAACCUACAUCAAUUCACUUUAUUAAUCCCGUAUAGCUUCGAAAAGUCACAUAAUUACAUACCGCAGCUUUCAAACCAUUUUUCUCUGAGCUUAAGAAGUAAUGGUAAUCACAUGUCAAAUAAUUACAUCGCCUUAAUGCAGUAUAACGAACACUCUAGCUUAGUUGGAACACGCCGAAACAGAAAUAGUGUCCAAAAAUCAAUAACAACCAUAAACUAGAGAGAGAUCGAGUUUGAUUACGCUCUCUAAGCUGAGAUGCAGCUCCCCUGGUAGUAUACUACAGAAAACACAGCAAAAUCCUCUUUCCACGUGCUGGAAGCCUCCUUCAGUCGCCAAAUCAGCAGAACAACAAGCGCGCGGGCGAAAACGGCGCGAAUCGCGGCUUUUCUCAUAGAGAGGAAAAAACCCUAGAGAGAGAGAGAGAAAAAUGAAGAAGAAGGUGUCUGAGGCCUCAAACAACCCCACCUGAGCUCCAGAGCCGUGCUGGCUUCAUAUGGAUGAGAUCAAAGUGUGAAAAGACUAAAUACCUUCGCUGCCACGAAUCUGCCACGUGUACCGGUACGAGGUGAUGUCUGUACGCCACAGACAGCAAGAGAAGAGCUGAUUUUCGGCAGAUCAACGUGCAAUUUCUCUCCACUUUUAGGGGCAUCAAUCAUCCUCUACACUCUGUUCAAUUAAACUUGUCAAGCAUUUAACAUGUAAAUAGUUCCACACUUCAAUCCACGACACUCGAAUCUGCAAUGUGCGAAAGUCCAGCGACUUAAAAUACCCUGAGUCAACGAAAGUCUCGCGUUUGUUCCAACAAUAGUACGAAUCCUCAUUUUCUUAUCUAAAGAAUAUUUGGUACCUAUGAUGUGUUGUUGCUCAGUGAACACACUGAAUUCCAUACAUCAUUUGUGAACGAAAUUGACCAAGUCUUCUUGCAUUAGUAUUUUAUCCAUAUUCAUACAAAGCGUAAAGGGCUUCGUCAAUAUUCUUUGGCUCAAUCAAGAGAUAUCGAUACAUGCAAAUUCACAUUGUAGUUGACUUACUUGUCGUACUCCAAGCAUUAGGAUCCCCAAUUACAUUCGCAUAAGGAUGAUUCUCGACUUGCUGUAGGGGUGUAGUCUCAGGAGAUAUGCUUGGGAUUUCAGCAUGAGGUGAUCUUUUAGCUCGAUGAAUCAUUUUGAAGCAAUAAUUUUCAGAAAGAUGCAAUGGGAAUUUCAAGUGCAGAAACAUAUAUCAUCAUUCACAGCAAUACAACGGAGAAUCAUUAUAUCAUCAUUCGCAAGGAGAAGUAGAAGAACAUUCACAAACGAAUCUUAACAGAAGAAGCUUCAUCUACAUUUUAUAUUGAUGAUUCUUACGUUAUAGAUCGUAAUAUGUACGCUACCGUAAGCACGACUUGUAGUAGAAUGAACCAAGAAAAUCCCUUCUGUCACUUCGAGAGUCAAAUUUCUCAACGGAUUUUGCCCACGACGAUCCCGAAGUGAUAAAACAUUAACUCCGAAGACGACCAAAGCUAUUUAAUUUUAGGUUCCUAACCAAGCAGAGUUCAUAGGAUAUUUCAAUGUACCCGCGUGCAAUGAAAUCCGAUUGAUAACCAUAGACAGCCGUGUUCACUCGCUUCAGCCCAAAAAGUGUAAAGCCAUUUUCUUACUAUGGAAGCGAAUAACACGAAGCCAUCUCCUGUUACAACCCGUUCUUGCGUUAACCACUCCGUUUUGUUGGGUGAGUUAGGGGUUCGAGAAUUCAUGUUUAUAUACAUUUGAAAUACAGAAAUCAACACAUUUUGAAAUUUCUGCAAUUUCCCCCUUGUAUCACUUCGAAUACGUUACAAUUUUAUAUUUUCAUUUCAAGUCAUAAGACGAGACAGUUGCAGAAAAAAAUCAAAGUAUCAGCUUUUUCCGUAGAAGGCACUCCAAGCAAAACGAUUUAAAUAAUUAUCAAAAUGAGCAAUAUAUAACGUUUCCACCCGAAACUUUGGAAAUCCUAGAUGUCCCAUCAAAUCCAUGCUGAAGUACUCUUAAAGGUUAUGGUCCCCUAAGUGUGGUUCAAAAUUCCUUAUGUGCGACAGCUAGUUUGUUCCCCAUGACAACACCCCACCAGCAAGUGUCUCUUUGAAGUCAAUCUGUAGUAGCACCUCUGACAACCUCCUUUAGUUAUCUUGGAUAGCUCUUAAAAUUAAUGUGACGCUAGUCGUUUCGGCCAUAAAGUUCAGUGUAUCUCAAUGACGCUAGGUUACAAUGUUCAGUCGAGAGAAUUAGGAACUACAUUACAGUGUUUUGAGAUCUAAUGCCCUUUAAGAAAGAUGGUCAUCACGAGUACAUGGCUUCUUAUCAGAAAAAUCACAGAAAUACCAUACAUCACAACAGUUGGCUUAUGGCUUACAAAUUAGAUUCGCCCAACAUAGAAAACAUCAUUCAAAGUAACGGCAUCCUGAGAUAGUCACUGUUCCUUUUCCCAACAAUUUUUGUAUGACCGACGGCUCCAAAAACAACAAGUCCUCCAGAAUUUCUGUUCAAUAGAAGUAAAUCCGAAUUUUUAUCUCUCGGUCAUGUGGCGGAACAAGCCACUAUCCAGAUACUCAAUGAAUAGUAAUUAUUGGUUAAGCAUGAGCGAAGUGUGAAUGACUAGGAUGGAAGAGUUCACCUUUGCGCAUCGCAAACUUACGUGAUUCUUGGGUUGCGUGAUUCACUUGCUUUUGGUACCGUGGUUGUCGAUGAUUUGAAUUGGCUUCCUCUUAUAGUCCUCCGUUGGUUUCCAUGCCUGUUUGCUUUGGCUUCGAUGUAUUUGUGUGUCAAGUUUGGUCUCUUCUUAUGACCUGCCUUCUUCUUUUGAUUGCAAAUUUCUUUAUGUGUCCUAAAACACCACAUCAUAUGACAAAGUUUUGUUAGUUCAAAUUAAUUUUUAGGAGCAGACAAACUUACCAUAAAGUUUUAGGAACAGCAUGUUCUGACUGAAUUUCCAUCAUCUUUCUCUCGUUAUCUUGAUCAAUAUAUAGUGCCGUUCAUCACCCAAGUCCAAGUUUAUGUUAUGUUUGACCUAGUCCAAGCAUCUUGUCAGUUUACUUGAGCGAGUACGAAAAUUGGUUCAAAUUCGAUUCAUUGAAUUGAAUCGUCUUGUGGAAUUCCAAUAUUUGCUUUUCUACUUCCGAGUAUUGCUUGGUGAGAAAAUUGGAUAUUCUCCAUCUGAGUCUCUUUUUCCUUCAAGUAACGACACUUCUCAAAUAAACGAGUUGUAUGCCUGGUCAAACAUCUUUUCUUGCUCUAGAUCCUUUGUUUGUGAGGCCAAUUUUGAAUUUUCUUGACUUCCACUCAUGUAGAUCGCCGCAGUGGUAUGUAGACCACCUCUUGAUUCAACAACCAAUUGUUUGAUAUGCUGCACCGAUGUGUCUUCCCGAUUUCCAUCUGAUGAUAUCUCCGAGAUCGAUCUUUCAUUAGGCGAUGAGUUAUAGAGAUAGGAUAUCGGAGAUCGUAUAGCAUGUUGAAAGUUGAGUUGCAACAGUGCUGGAUAUUACGGCAUGGAAGUGGAAAUCAUCCAGAUGAGGAAUCGUCGGGGCCAAGUAAUAGCUUGUAUCGACUUUCUGUGUUGCACGUUUUUAUUAGGCACGUCAGAUGCAAUAUGGCCAAAGCCCCUUAACACUUGUAGAGAAUGCCCUUCACUUGCUUUUUUCAUCUUUUGUAGAGUCCUUUUGAAAGUUAUACCGAUUCUGUAUUUGAUAAGGAAGAAGAAGACGAACCCCCUUAUUUGAUUUCGCUGACUUGGAAGAAGUAGACUUGGGACAGGCAACUUCUUUCUAAGUUUCUUCGAUGGAACUUUUGUUCAGAAGCGCUAGUUGCUCUUCUCAAAUGUCCCUCCAGGGCUUUGCUCCACUAAGAGAUGAUUAGCAAGUGAUUUGACAAAUAAUACCACCAAUUCCAUUGUUUGUCUGAUGCGUCUUUGCCGUCCUCGAUCGAUAGGAACGUGACAGUGUGUAUCCCUCGCCGAAUCCCUACGCAGCUGUGCAACCGGCCCAAUCUCGAAGCGUCCACCGAAUUCUCGCCUUCAACAGCGGCAAAAUCCACCGCGUCCGUAACCUCUUUCAGGAGCUUGUGAAAUCAGAGAGAUUUGUGUGAUUUAAGUUUGUGGUUACCAUAGCUAUGAGUGUUCGACUCUUUAAUUCAAACAUUACUUGAUUCUCGAUAUGAGUUUCCUCGAGUAAAACGAAGAAUUAAGCCGAUUGGUGAUUGUCUUAGAAAACCUCGCGUUAUGUGAAUCGAAUCAUUGAAACGGACAAAACAGUUUCUAGGUCUUAGAAUCAAGUAAAUUCAAGCCUUAAACUUUUUAGAUGACCACAAGGUUGGAUUUAUAUGUUUAGAAGCUAGAAUAGAUCAGAUCUGCACAAAGUCUCUUUUAAAAGUUCGUUGUCGGCCUCAGAGAACCGGCUCCUCUCGAGGUAUGACCGGGUCUUGAGAGACCGCUCUCUUCAAGUUGAGGAAUCGCGAUCCAUCGCUGCGCGUCCCAAAUACAGCACACGUUCGGCGAACCGGUCUCUCAGGCUUGAGAGUGAUCGCUCCUGCGGAUAGAAAUACCCAAGAUUCUUACGGUGUCUCAUCUCAGGGACGAUUGCAUCAAAGCUCACGCAGUGAGGACCUUAGGGGAACCGGUCUCUUGAACUCANNNNNNNNNNNNNNNNNNNNNNNNNNNNNNNNNNNNNNNNNNNNNNNNNNNNNNNNNNNNNNNNNNNNNNNNNNNNNNNNNNNNNNNNNNNNNNNNNNNNCAGAUCAACGAAACAGCAACAAAUCCUAUGGAUCAGAACGAGGUAACACCUUUAAGAAUAUCCAAUGCUUUUAUUGUAAGAAAUAUGGCCAUAUAGAAAGAUUUUGUCGUUUGAAAAAGGAGAAUAAUUCUCAAGUUGAUGCUAACUAUGUUGAAUCUGAUGUUCUUUUUGCUUGCUACACCGUAAAUACAAAUUUGGAAAAUAUUUGGUAUUUGGAUAGUGGUUGCAGUGCUCACAUGACAGGAAGAGACGAUAUAUUUAUCGAGUUGGACAGAUCGAUUCGAAGGCCGGUAAAAAUGGGAGAUGGUCGUAUUCGUGAAGCACAAGGUAAGGGAGUUGUAAAGGUAAACUUUAAUGGUAUCACAGAAAUAUCGGAUGUUCUUUAUGUUCCUGGUUUGGAUGCAAAUUUAUUCAGUGUUGGCCAAUUUCUUACUUUUGGAUAUUCUUUGGUGUUUGAAAAUUGUAAAUGCCUCAUUUUUAAAGAUAGCCAGAAAACAGAAUUGCUUGCUGAAGUUGCCAUGGCGAAAAAUAAAAUUUUUCCUUUAUAUAAUGAUUUUCGAAAUCUGGCUAUGAGAGUAUCUACUAAUGAAAAUUGGUUGUGGCAUGAAAGGUUCGGACAUUUAAGUUUUGACAGAUUAGAGAUUUUGUAUAAGAAGGAGAUGGUUGAUGGAUUGACGCAUAUUGCACCAAGUGACUCGACUUGUGAAAGCUGUGUACGAGGGAAGCAUCAUCGAUCUCCGUUUCCAAAGAAAAGCACGUGGAGAGCAAAGAAACCUCUGGCCCUCGUACAUGCGGAUGUUUGUGGGCCAAUGCAAACACUGUCUUUGAAUAAUAAUUUUUAUUUUGUUGUUUUUGUUGACGAUUUUAGCCGUAUGACAUGGGUUGAUUUUGUGAAACAUAAGUCAGAUACUUUUGCAUGCUUUAAAAAGUUCAAAAUAUGGUUGAGAAGGAAUCGGGCUAUUAAAUUAAAACUCUCCGUACAGACAGAGGUGGUGAAUUUAUUUCUAAUGAAUUUAACGACCCUUUACGAAGUGUGGAAAAGCUCAGAACACGAAACAAACACUCGAACCUUGCAAUUUGCAAAGGUCCAGUGUGUUACAUUCACCCCUCCUAAAAAGGAGUUUCGUCCGCGAAACUCGAAAGUAACGUACCUCAAGACUCCAUCUGAAAAAGAUGGGGAUAACGCUCCAGCAAGGCGCUCUCAAGCUCCCACGUGGCCUCUCGCUCCCCAUGGUUGCUCCAAAGAAUCUUCACAUACGGAAUAUCCCGAUUCCGCAGUUUCUUCACCUCGCGAGCCAAGAUCUUCACUGAUUGCUCCUCGAAGCUCAAGUCAUCCCGACCUCCACCAGUGUAGCAUCCAACACAUGAGUCGAGUCGAAGAUGUACUUCCGAAGGACCGAUACAUGAAAAACGUUGUGCACAUCCGAUAGGUUCGGUGGUAGAGCAAGUCGAUACGCUACCGGACCUCCACGCUCCAAAAUCUCAUACGGUCCAAUGAAACGGGGACUCAACUUACCCCGAAUUUCGAAUCUCUUGAUCCCUCUAGUUGGUGAGACCUUCAAGAAAACAUGGUCUCCAACUUGGAACUCCAAGUCUCGCCGUCGUCGGUCUACUCUGCGUUGUCAAAAGUCGCUCCCGAGCAAUUCGAACUUUAUCCUCAGCUUCCUAGAGCAUAUCUGGUCCCAAAGCCAAUCUGUCGCCCACUUCACUCUAAUGAAGUGGCGAUCUACACUUCUGUCCAUAAAGUGCUUCGAACGGUGCCAUCUUGAUGCUUGCUUGAUAACUAUUGUUAUAAGCAAACUCCGCCAUAGGUAGAUGCUGCGACCAUCCUCCCUAGAAGUCUAUCACACAUGCUCGGAGCAUAUCCUCUAAAGUCUGUAUGGUGCGCUCCGACUGCCCAUCACUCUGAGGGUGGAAAGCAGUGCUAAAAUCCAGUCGAGUGCCUAGGGCGUCCUGUAGACUCCUCCAAAACUGAGACACAAACCGGGUGUCUCGAUCUGAUACAAUCGACGUGGGCACUCCGUGAAGUCGCAUAAUCUCAUCAAGGUACACUUGUGCGAGUUUCUCCUCAGUCCAAGUAGUAUGAAUAGAUAUGAAGUGCGCCGACUUCGUCAACCUAUCCACGAUCACCCAAAUAGCAUCAUGCCCGGCCUGAGAGCGGAGCAAUCCAGUCACGAAAUCCAUGGUGAUCUUCUCCCACUUCCACACGGGAAUAGGCAAACUCUGAAGUUUUUCCGCGGGAACUCGAUGCUCACCCUUUACUUGUUGGCAAGUUAGACAACGAGCUACAAACUCGCCAACAUCCUUUUUCAUCCCGGGCCACCAAUAAAGCAACUUUAAAUCCUUAUACAUCUCGGUGCCUCCCGGAUGUAUAGCGUAGGGCGCUCGGUGUGCUUCUUGAAAAAUGUCCUCUUUAAUUCCCAAAUCUGCCGGUACACAAAUCCGUCGACGAAAACGCAUCAAUUCUUGGUCAUGCACAAGAAAAUCGCCGGUGCAACGAGCAACCAUUUUACCUUUAAUCAUUUGCAACUCCACAUCGGAAGCUUGCUUUUCUUUAAUACGAUCCAAAAGUGUAGGUUGCACAACCAACGUCAUCAACUUCAAAGGCGUGUCAGGAGUCACCACCUCCAACUCCAACCGUUUCAUCUGUUCGAUUAACUGCUGUUGAGUAAUAACAUGCAACGCUAAGUUUUCCGUUGAUUUCCUACUUAGUGCAUCCGCCACCACGUUAGCCUUGCUCGGGUAGUAUAGAAUCGUCAGGUCGUAGUCCUUUAGCAGCUCUAACCAUCUGUGCUGUCUCAAAUUCAACUCCUUCUGAGUAAACAAGUACUUUAAACUCUUGUGAUCCGUGUAUACUUCACAUCGCUCGCCAUAAAGAUAGUGGCGCCAUAGCUUAAAUACGAAAACUACGGCCGCUAACUCCAAAUCAUGCGUCGGAUAGUUUUUUUCAUAUUCCUUUAGUUGGCGCGAAGCAUACGCGAUCACUUUGCCAUCCUGUAUCAACACACAACCCAAUCUAUUAAGUGAAGCAUCACUAUAAACCACAUACCCUACUCCAGCCAUCGGCAGGGUUAGGAUCGGGGCGGUCGUCAAUCUUUGCUUCAACUCUUGGAAGCUUCUCUCGCAUGCAUCAUUCCAAAUGAAUUUGACUCCUUUAUGCGUGAGUCUCGUGAGGGGAGUAGACAGCUUGGCGAACCCCUCAACAAAUCUCCGGUAGUACCCGGCCAAUCCAAGGAAACUCCGAAUCUCCGUGACGCUCGUCGGUCUCGGCUAAUCCUCGAUCGCUUUAAUCUUCUUAGGAUCCACGGCUAUACCUGAUCCUGAUAUUAGAUGCCCAAAGAAAGCUACCUCUCGAAGCCAAAAUUCACACUUUUUCAGCUUGGCAUAAAGCUCCUUUUCCCGAAGUACUUGAAGUACAAGCCUCAAAUGCUCAUCGUGAUCUGCAUCACUUCGGGAAUAGACCAAAAUAUCGUCGAUAAACACUACGACGAACCUGUCUAGAUAAGGCUUAAAAACAUGGUUCAUUAGAUCCAUAAAAGCUGCCGGGGCAUUAGUAAGCCCAAACGGCAUAACAGUGAACUCAUAAUGUCCAUACCGUGUUCUGAAGGCCGUCUUCGAUACAUCCUCGGGUUUGAUCUUUAACUGGUGGUAUCCCGACUGCAAAUCGAUCUUGGAAGACACACACGAUCCCUGAAGCUGAUAAAACAAGUCAUCGAUCCUCGGCAACGGAUACUUAUUCUUGAUCGUGACUUUAUUAAGUUCACGAUAGUCUACACAUAGGCGUAGCGAUCCGUCUUUCUUCUUGACGAACAAAACUGGCGCUCUCCAAGGCGAGACGCUCGGUCGAAUAAAGCCUUUAUCCAGAAUAUCCUGUAGCUGUGCCCUCAGCUCCUUCAGCUCCGCCGGUGCCAUCCUAUAAGGCGCUUUCGAAAUUGGAGUAGUCCAAGGGACGAGAUCUACCACAAACUCGAUCUCCCUAUCGGGUGGCAUGCCCGGUAGCUCAGCUGGAAACACGUCACAAAACUUCCAUACUAUCGGAUAUCCUCAAUCCUAGGGGUAUCACCCUCACCCCUCAACACAACACUAGCCAAGUUGGCUACACAACCUCUGCUGAUCAGCUGCCUAGCUCGAGACGAGCUGAUCGACAUCGCAAAAAGCGAACUCUGGCAUCCUCUAAAUAUCACCUCAACUUGCCCCGGUUCUUUAAAAAUAACCAUGCAAUUCUUGCAAUCAAUCGUGGCAUAAUACUUGGUUAAUCAAUCCAUGCCUAAGACCAUGUCAAAUUCCCCCAGCUUGCGCAAGGCUAGCAAGUCCACAGGCAUAAUCCAAUCUCCUACCCGAAUAGGGCAACUAGGGCAAUACUCUCUAAUAUCCAAAAAGUGGUCGGGGACAACUACACGUCUCGAAUGCAACAAAGAAAGCAUAGGGAUGCCAUGCAACUCGGCUAACAGCCGAUCUAUGAAUGAAUGCGAUGCACUGGUAUCAAAUAAUGUACGAACUCUAAUGUCAUCAAGUAAAUGAUACCUGCAACCACAUCCUCGGCUGCUGCCGCCUCCUCGGCCUGAGCGGCAUACAUACGCCCACUCGGGGCCUAUCAAGAACCCUCGCUCUAGCGCUGGAUGGGUGGCCGCCCAAGCUGGUACUGCGCCGAUGGAGUCCCGUGGCUGGCAGCUGGUAGAGCCGGUGCCGAUGCAGUCGAUGGUGCCGGUGAUGAUCUCCUCGGGCACUCAGUCCGGAAGUGGCCCUUCUGGCCACACAAGUAGCACCUGCCUCCCCGCUGUGGGCACUGCGGUGGAGUGUGAGGACCACCGUAGAUCACGCACUGGGGAGGUCGGCGUUGAUCAGGACCUCUUCGCUGCGCUGCCGGGCCGCGCCCACGCUGCUGGCUCCUAGGGUGUUUCGGCGGCCUCCUAGAGUGCGUCUGGCUCGCACCCUCCGCCGCAGGCCUCUUGGCCUUACCCCUGUCCAAGCCCUCUCGCUGCUCAUGCAUCUCUGCCGCGCCGCUCUCCACGACGAGCGCGCGAUCCACCACCUCCCGGUAGGUUUGGAGGUUAGAGGAUUGCACGAACCGGAAGAUCGACGGUCGCAAGCCCCGCUCGAAGAUGCGGGCCUUGUCCUUGUCGUCCCGCACGACGAAAGGUACGUAGUGAAUAAGCCGAGAGAACUCCCUCUCGUACUCGGCUACGGUCCGAUCACCUUGGCGCAAGUUGCGUAAGUCCUGCUCCAUCUUCCGCUUGACACUAGUCGGGAAGUAGUGCGCCAACAGAAGCUCUUGAACUUCUUCCAUGUGAUAGCCGCCAAGUCUGUGCUGGGGUUUUCCUGAAGAUCCAAACACCAGCGAUAGGCCUCGCUGUCCAGAUGGUGAGUGGCGAUCCAAACUCGAUCCCUCUCCUUCACGAAGGUGUCGCGGAAGAGCUUCUCCAUAUGCAUCAACCACUUUUCCACUAUUCAGUGGUCGACCUUCUCGCCGUCGAAGAUCCGGGGACUGCACCUCCUGAACUCGUUGAGGCGCUCCAUCAGUUGGUCCCGCUCCGCCGCCUCAACCAACAUGGGAAAAACAGCUCCAAUCGGGGGUGCCUGAACAGGUGGCGCCGCCAAAGCCUCCUCUUGAGGCGCGGCCACGGGCGCCGCACGCGACGAACUGGGCGCAGGGGACGGCGCUCUCGGCGCGACGUCCACAACUAGUGCUGGAGGUGUAGGGGCCUGGGUCUCCCUGGAAGCUGCCGCCUGUUGCAGAAGAAGGUCCUCCAGGCGCUUCAUCCGUGCCUCCUGUCGGCGCGCCGCAUCAGCCUGCUGUUGGGCCGCCGCCGCCUGCUGAGCCACGAGAUCAGUAAGGGUCGCAAGCUGGCUGCUCAACUCACGGACCUCGCCGGAUCUGGAGGUAGCGGAGGUCUCGACCUCCUCCAACUUUGCGGCAUUAUCCGCUCCAGCAGAUUGAGAGCGUGUAAUCGGCAUCGUCACUACAACAUCAUAAGAGCGCAAGUUAGUAAAACCCACGCUAUCGCAUCCCCGCUCAAAUAGACAAUACCCAAAUCAUGCGGAAGUAAGGAAGUGUUCUUCACCACUAACUCCCGAUGUUACGUUGUCUGCCGCCAACGUAACCCUCCGCGAAGUUAGAAGCUAUACACUUCAAUUUAACUCCACUUUUUAGAGUUAUCAAAGAUACCCAAUCAAGAUACUUUCGCUUACAAGUCAAAUAGACCUCGUCUCUCACGAGCCUAUUUCCUAUAGUCCAACCGGCCUAAGGUUUGCUAGGUCCACUAAGACUUAACUCUAGGCUCUGAUACCAAAUUAAUCUGUCACGCCCCGAGACACAGCGGAAGCCCGCCCGGCACGUGCACAGACCCGCCAUACGUCUAAAAUUUAUAAGGCGUCUAAAACAAAACGAUAAAUGAGACAAUAAAAAAAAAUAUCUAGAAGUAUCAGAGCAAUAUACAUCAUCUAGAGACUAAAACAAUAUGAAGAGUAGAGAGCUAAAAUCACUAAUAACCAUAAAGUAGUACAACCAAAGAUCCAAAUACAAGAAUUAAAAGAGUACAUAAGUGGUCUCUAUACAUGGUAACACAAAUCUCUCGCUCUCCCAAAAUACAAAGAGAGGGAACAACCUAAGAGCAGAAAGUAAAUCCUCGCUAUCUAGCUAGCAACCCCUUGCCGCGGUCCUGUGCCUCCGCCGGUACAGAGGACUCUGAAAGAAAAAUAUAAAAUAGAGGGCGUGAGAACUAUUAAAUAAUAGUUCCCAAUGGGCAAUUACUGACUUCAAUGAAAUGCACCACUAGGCCCAAAACUAAGCAAGUAGGGUAAGUAAGGCAGGUAAGAAUAAUAUGAACAAAUAAAUCACUGAAAUGGAAGCUCAAUAUAGCAUGAUGUCACUACUUUCGUUAGUAAUAAUCUACCACAUGAUCUCUAUUUAGUAUGGAUUUGCAUAAGUAAUAAACUACCACAUGAUCUCUACUUAGCAUGAAUGUGCAUAAGUAAUAAACUACCAUAGCAUAAUUGCAGAAGUAUAGGCCCAACACAAUGAUCACAAGCUAGAAUGGUAAUGUGUCAUUAUCUACUAUUCUAGUCAAUGUCCAAAAGGUACAAUGUGUCACCAGUAACCCAAUCCUAUGGAAGCUACCCGUAGGUAGUCCGGCCUGCGCCGUGCCAACAAUGGUCCCGUGGUAGUCAACAUCCCCACUCUAGGAAUGGAAAAAUUCUAGAAUGCAACGGGUAUAUUAGUGACGUGGCGUAACAAACCAAUCAAAUUAAUCCUUUUAAGAAUAUAUGUCCCAUCAUGAUUGUAAAAAAGUAUUUUUAUUGUACUUUUGUUUGAAAAGAAGGAAUGUGAUUGGCUUGUUAUUGAUGACGUGGUGCAAGUGUGACAGUGUAGAAUUCCUCCUAGGAAUGAGCCUCCCCACGGCAUCCUAUUUUGGCGCCCAAUCCCGCACAGGCGAGCGUAUGUCGCGAUGGCUAUCUCCGGAGUGCCGACUGGUAGGAAGCGACCCUCACAAGUAUGUGCAAAUGAGCAUAAUGGCAUGCAAGCGAAUAAGUCCGUCUCAAGUCCCAGUGGUUCAUCACUGUUUUAUCGGAUCUAAAAUCCGAAAUACAGCACAUGUCCCAAAGGCCUGCCUCUAUGUCAUCGUGUCUAAAAUACGGAAUAUAGUAACUGUCUCAAUGCCCUAUCUCUAUGUCGUCAUGUCUAAAACAUGGAAUAUAGUAGAUUUCCAGUGGCCUAUCAUCAUGUCUCUAAGUUGUAGUUCAACAAUUUCCUAGUUCAAGUGUCCCUUUAUGACACUUUUGCUUACUAUGUCCCAAUAUGAAUAAUAAGUCUAAAAGCUUGUCAUUCUAAUCAUUUUCUACACAAGAAAUAUGAUCUUACAUCAUUCAUUAGAACAUUAAACCCAUGCAUACUAACGAUGCAUAUGCUUCUCUCUACAACAUAGAGUCAAUUUUUCAUGAUGCAUAAAAUAGGGGUUUUAAGCGUUCUACAAUUCACAUAAAUUUCAUUUAACAUGAAUAUGCAUGUAUUUAUAGUAUACGAAAAUAUUUAACCACAUAGGAGGCAUUUCCUUUCUUUCAAUGAAGCCAAACCCACCAAAGUCUUUGCGGCUCAUCGUAACCUCCGAUGAAGUUGCUCGCUACUCUCCUAGCACCCUAAAGGUAUAGAAAUGAGAGUUAAACGGACCAUACGAACAAAGCUAAGCUCAAACAUUAAGCUAUUUAAGCUAAGGUGAAGAAACUCACCGUACGCGAAGGAAUCUCUCUCGAUCUCCAAAAGGGAGCUAGAGUCCUUCAAAUCCAAUCUAAAUCAAAGUUCUAAACCAAUCAAUUUGGUUCUAGAAGCUACAAAUCCAAAAUCCCCAAUUCUAACCCUAAAAUCCAAAAUCUAGAGUUUCCUCUAGCAAAAUCCAUCAGAACAUGUAUUAAAAGGAGAAUACAUGUUACUAACCUCUCAAGAAGCUCCAAAUCAAGCUCAAAGUCCUCUAGGGUUGAAGGUUGAUCCUCAAACAAGCUCCACUCCCGAAAUCCAAGCUUCUCCCUUGGAGGAAUCCAACAAGAAGCAAAGAAGGGCAAAGGGGAGGGGAUCAAAACCCACAAAAAUUCAUAAAAAAUGGAAAAGAACUCAAGAGGGGGAGUUCUCACCUUGUUCUCCACUGAUCUAGGGCUCAAAACCCUGUCUAAGGGGGCUGGGGUAACAUAUAUGGUGUUGAACAAUUGCAAAAACACCCCUGCCCGAAAACUGCUCGCACUGCACUGUGUACCGGUACACGGGCUCGCGUACCGGUACAACAGCUGUGAAACAGCCAAACCCGAGCCUCGAGUCUGCACGAAAUUUGUCUGUGUACCGGUACAUCAGCCCCGUACCGGUACAGCCAUCAGCGCGUCCCGGUACAGCCAUCAACCCCGUACCGGUACACAGCUCUGCUGAGGCUACCUGAGAGCUGACCAAAAAUCCGACUUUUCGGAUUUUAGUGCUAGGUUUUAAACCUCCAAUCUCGGGGCUCGAACCAUGGGUCGGAAUACUGACAACGACCCUCCACGAAGUGUGGAAAAGCUCAGAACACAAAACAAACACUCGAACCUUACAAUUUGCAAAGGUCCAGUGCGUCACAACCGGCCCCGCCACCGGCAGAGGGGCGGCUACGGUUGUAGAUGGCAGUAGCGGCGGGGGCAUGUACGACAGCAGCAGCGGCGACGACCAUGAGGUGAAGAGGAAGGAUGAGGAGGAGGACGACGACAAGAAAGCAGAGGGAGAGAGAAGGAGGAGGGAGAAGAAGAGAAAGAGAAAUGGUAUAAAUUUCAUCGAAAUAGUGCAACUUUCGCCUAAAUAGUGUAACUCUCAUCUUAAAGAGUGUAAUUUUUAUUUCAAAGAAUGCAAGUUUCAUUUAAAACAGUGCAAUUUUUUUUGAAAAUAGUGUAACUUUAUUUUAACAGUGCAAUUUUAUCUUUUUCUUCCUUCUUCUAUGAUUUUAGUCUAUCCUGUAUGAAAAUUAAUUUUUUUAAUUUUUUAUUAUUCUUAUUUUUUUCUCUCUAUAAUUUUUUUGGUCAUGACCUCUCUCUUGCCCUCUAUCACAGCCACCGCCAUCGCCAGAUGUAGAUAUUUUUCUCCCCUUCCCUCGCCGGCGUGCUUUUCAGCCCCAAGAAGUACUUCCUCUUCAUCGCCGGCGGUGGCGGUGGGGACGGCAGGUUUGUUUGGCAAGUAGAAAAUCUGCUGCAAUGGAGGUAGCGGGCGAAGGUGGAGGAAGAUGAUGCAGUACCGUUCUCGAUAUCGUCGCGGAGGGCCGCGGAGGCAGUGGAGGAGGGUCGGAGAGAAAAGAAAAGACGGCGGGCUCGGAGGCGAGGAGGGCGGGGGGUGUGCGGGCGAGAGUAUGAGAAGCAGGGGGGAGGCGGGCCGUUUCUGCCUCCGCCGCCUUCUUCGGAGAGGAAAAAAAUGCGAGAAAAAAAAGGAGAGAGAAAAAAGUAUAAGGGUAUUUUGUUCAGCUUGCUGAAAAUUCGAACCAAAUCUGCAAAAUCGAAAAAGACAGCCCAGUUUUGCAAAAGCUCAAAACUUGUCAAUUUUUUAUGCAAAUUGGCCUUAAUUUUUAUGUAUUUUCUAAAUAAUUAAAUAUUUAUAUAAAAUAAAUAUAUAAUACUUUCUAUAGUUACUCAAAUAAUCACCACAGCUUUUUCAACCGACGAGGGGCAUAGAGUGACUCAUAUAAGAAGGUACUCCAAUACCCUUUUUUACUCUAGAGUGACUCAUAUAAAAAGGUACUCCAAUACCAUUUUUUUCUCUAUAAAAGUGAUAAAAGGUUAGUCCCUUCAUUUUUCCUAUGUAUUGGUCUAUGUUCUGUUCUUUUUGACAGUAAGAAUGGGAAGAAAAAAAAAGGUACUCCUCCGAUCACUGAAAAAUAUAAAGGUGAAAAUUAAGUCCCAAUAAGAUGUGUUUUCACACUUUCGAGGCUUUCCAGCAGAGGUUUUCAAGUUUAUCUACUAUGCUUUCUUCCAUGCAGGUCAACCAAUGCUAUCUCUUCUAUUCAAGCAAAUAGCAGGUCUCAGAUCUAACUCAAGUGUCAGGUGCAAAGUUAGUUAUCAUCCAAAUCAAGUCAAUAUGCUAUUCUUUUUUAGCUUCCUGCCUGGCUCACUUAAUAGCGCAAUCCGCAUAAAACUAAGAAAGUAAAAUAUCUAAAUUGAAAGUAGAAGGAUCAAGCUAUCUAUACCUAUACAUUAUUCCCCCAAAAAAAAGCCACAUGGCGGAGUUUCCUUCCUUUAGCGGAACCAACUUUUUGGCUUCCCUUCACCUAUAACAUCUAAUUAAUAGUCCACUAAGCUUAAUCUAACCCUUCGCCUUUCCUAUACACAUAACGUCAUCUUCCCUCCACCUAUAAUAUCUAAUUCUUCCCUCCACCUAUAACAUCUACUUAAUAGCCCACUCACCUUAAUCCAACCUUUUGCCUUUCCUACAAACAUAACGUUUAAUUAAUAGUCCACUCACCUUAAUCCAACCCUUCACCUUUCCUACAAACAUAACGUCUAAUUAAUGGUUCACCUACUUUAAUCCUAAUCUAAACAGUAAAUCGUAGAAACCUACGAAAAGCCCAAUCUCUUCUUCUCUAUUUUCUUUUCCUCCUCCAUGAGCUCCGAGGCUAAGAUCAAGCACGUUAUGUAGACGGAGUAUAAGUUUGCACGCUGUAUCAUCGAGCUUGGCGUUACCAUCUUCAUCAAAUCGAGCUUUCCUUCAAAUUUUAGGAGUUAUUUUAAAAGAUUAAUGUAUUCUUUAUGUUGUAUCGUUGAAAUUUCUUAGAUAGUUUUAUUCAGUUUUUUAAAGUUUUUUUUUAUUUGCAUGGUAUUCAAACUAAUGUGUUUGUUAUGUGGAAGAUUUAUUAUUUUUUCUUUUUCUAUCCUUUGUUUUUUAUAUUUUUUUUCUCGAAAGUAAAGUUCUGUAUUAUAUUUACUGUAUUUGGUUGUGUUAGGUUGUAUAUCUUUUUGUCUCUUAAAAAUUUAUUAUAUAACUUUUCAUAUGCUUUUUUUUUCUAUUUUCAUGACUCUUUUUAUUAACUGAUAUAAGCUGUUUAUAAAAUUAGAUUGAUAUAUGAUCUAAAAAGGUCUUCAUUUUCUUGAAGGGAUAAGUAUCUUAGCUUAUAUAGAAAAUGAAGGAAUAAAAAUAUAACUUAUACAAAAAAAGUUUAACUCUUUGAUUGUUUUGAUUUAUAAAAUGUUAAUUUUUAUUAGAUUUUUUAUCUAAAUCUCUCCCAAAUAGUAUGUCAUUUUUCGUCUCAAUAGGUUAACAUACUUAUUAUCUUUCUAUGAACAUUUUGUUACUAAUCAACUUCAGCAAAUUAAUAUACUUUUACAAGAAGCCAGUAUGCUUGGACUAUUUUGAUUUUUAAAAUAAUAAUAAAUUUUUGAUAUAUUAGUUAGACACUAAAUUUAUUUUAAUAGUAUCUACCCAUCGCAACGCACGGGUUACUACACUAGUAAUACAUGGAUAGAAUAGGGACCGUUUGUAUAUUUAUUUUGAGCAAUACUAUCUAUACACCGAAAAAUGGGUGUAAAUUCCACAAUCCCUUCAUCCGAUGGUAGAAUUUCUUCAUUAAUCAUCUCGAUGUGAUCUGUGAAGAUACCCAAUUGAUUAGAUUGAUGAGGUAUAAAAUAUACUCCCCAAAUGGGAUCUAUGGAUACUGUUGUAACAUUUUAUUAUUAAUUAUGAGAAUUUAAUUUUUUAACACAUGAAGUCAUGGUUAGUGAAGUUACAACUUCACUUUACUUGGAUUCAAUGUGAACUUUUAUAACCUAUACAUUUGAACCUACAUCAAAUGAAAUUAAAGUUAGUACAUUUACUUUUGUAAACUCCUAAGCCUUAACCUACAACUUAAGCUUCCACUAAAUUUUAUAUAACUUAUGGGUUUAAUACUCCUGUAACCUACAGGCUUGUGAGGCCUAUAUAUAGAGUUGAUUUCCAUUCAUUUAUAUACCACAACGGAAAAGCAACAACAAGUUAUUUUUAUUCUACUUGUGAGAGAGAGAAUGCCAAAGAAAUGUGCUCUUUGUGGAGCUUUGGGCUCAUCCACUUAUGCAGAGUUGUUGAAGCUACACGACGAGAGUCGAGCCGUUGUAUCCUAGAGAGAACAAGUCAAUGUUUGUUGUAUUUGUUCAAAGGCUUUGCCAACCGCAGGGGGCUUGAAUCUCCUUACAAAGAGUGAAAUUUUCAUUCCUCGAUUUGAUCAACUCGUCGACACAUUUUAUAUUAUUUUAUAGCUAACCUCUAUUUUUUUGAAUAUAUACACCAAUAAUUUUAAGGAGAUUUAAAAAUAGAGGCUACACGUGAAAAGUUCAACAAUACUACCGGAGAUACCGACCUUCCCUAGUGCAAGUGGCAAAAGGGCUUGGUGGUUGGUACCCAAGACCCAAGUUCGAAUCCUAGUUGAUUCACAUUUCUAGCUAAGUUUAUUUCUAAAUGAAAUAAACGAAGCGGGUAGCAUGCUACAUUUCUCUUAAAAAAAAAAAAAACUACUAGAGAUCUCAACAAGCCCUUCCGUUUCAACGGAAGCCACUUCAAGAGGUGGAAAGAAAAAGUAUUAUUCUAUCUCAAUUUGCUUAAAAUUGCAUACGUUCUUACGGAGAAGAACCCAAAGAAAAUAAAUACCGUUGAUAUAAAUGAAGACAAACUUCUCGAACACUACGAGAAAACUGAAAAAUGCGAGAAUGAUGAGUACAAUUGUCAGUAUUAUCUUCUCAACUGUCUUUCAGACCAGUUUUAUGAUUAUUAUGAAAAUACUUACUCCUCUGUAAGGAAGAUUUGGAAGACAUUGCAGCUUAAGUAUGAUACAGAGCAAGCUGGUGCAAAGAAAUAUGCUACUAGUCGCUUCUUUCGCUAUCAAAUGGUCGAAGGAAAGUCCAUGGUGGAACAAGUUCAAGACUUUCAGAUGAUCGCCAUGAAGUUCAAUCCGAAGGAGUCAAGUUUGGAGAUAACUUGAUCGUACUAGGAAUCAUCGACAAGUUACCACCAUCAUAGAGAGAAUUCCAAAAGACCCUUUAAUAUAAGCAAAAGGAGAUAUUUCUCGAGACAUUAAUUGCACGCUUUCGUGUGGAAGAAAAGACAAAAAGGCAUUAUGCACUUGAAGUAAAAGAGAAUGAUGCUAGCACUACUAAAGUAAACUUAGUAUCUUCUAAUACUUUACCUAAUAACAAUCGUUCUAGAAAUACAUACUUGAAGCCUAAGAAGAAAAUUGAAAAGAAUAGUGGUAAACCUUAUUUGAAGAAAAAUGACAAAGGACCUCCUUCUUAUGUAAAAAAUUCUAUAGUUUGUUUUGUCUGUGGCAAAAGUGGGCAUAUUGCUCGAAUUUGUAAAUUUCGAAAAUAUAAAGCUUUACCUCAAGCUAAUGUUAUUGAGGAGCCACUUGUGGUAAUGAUAACAGACAUAUGCUUAGUGGAGAAUACUGAAGAAUGGUGGGCAGACUCUGGCGCCAAUAGGCAUGUUUAUCAUGAUGAAACUUAGUUUAAAACAUAUACUCUCUCUAUGAACAACCAAGAAGUAUUAUGCUUGGUGAUUCACAUACUUCUAAAGUUUUAGGGAAUGGUGAGGUUCAGUUAAAAUUUUCUUCUAAAAGGGUGCUUAUCUUGAAAGAUGUAUUGUAUACACCCUCGAUUAGGAAGAAUUUGAUGUCAAGUUUUCUUUUUAAUAAAGUUGGCUUCAAACAGACCAUUGAGUCUGAUCAGUAUGUGAUUUCUAAGAAUGAAAAGUUUGUAGAUAAAGGUUAUGCAUGCGACAAAAUGUUUAAACUAAAUAUAGGAAUAAAACAUCAUAUACUUCUACUUACAUGCUUUCUUCUGUGAAUUUUUGGCAUGCUCGUUUGUGUCAUAUCAAUAGCGGAUAUGUUACUUUGAUGAGUAGUUUAGGAUUAAUUUCUAAACUGAAUAGUGAUUUUGACAAAUGUGAAACAUAUAGUAAGUCAAAAAUCACUAAACGACCUCAUAAGAGUAUUGAAAGAAAUACCGAAUUACUUGAGCUAAUUCAUAGUGAUAUUUGUGAAUUCGAAGGUACUCUAAAUGUUCAAUUUUUCCUCCUGAUCUUAAUACUAAUUUAGAUAAUAUGUACUUAACCAGGUCGGUCUUACAAACAACCGAUACUUCUACUGGUAAAAUAUAAUAUCUCAGUUUAGUACAUGCGUAAUAUAAUGCUAUGCAUAGUUUUUCUGUUGCCAAAUAACGUCGUUUGGCGUCUAACAAGUGUCGAAUGAGAUAAUAAAUAGCAUCUUCUUCCUUUUCACUUUUUUCCUAGGCCAAUAAACACCACAGAUUUUCUUUUGCAGCCAAUAUAUAUAACUUCAUUGGCUGGCCCUAUCGAGGAGGAAUAAAGACUGGAGGAUUUGCUAAAUAUCUUUUAAUAUUUUCAAACACCUCUUGUUGCUCCUCUGUCCAAAUAAACUCCUCUUGAUUUUUGAGCCGAAGUAAUAGAGUGAAUACUCCUAUUCUACCGGCUAAAUUAGAUAUGCAGCGUCGUAAGUAGUUUAUCUUUCCCAAAAAACUAUGUAAUUCCUUUUUAUUCUUAGGCGGUGGCAAUUCUAUUAUCGUCUUUGUUUUGUUUUUAUCUAUUUCAAUUCCUUUUUGGUGUACCAGGAAUCUAAGAAAGUUUUUUACUAAAACCCGAAAAGCGCAUUUUAAAGGAUUCAUUUUUAAGUUAUAUUUUCUCAUGUGCUCAAAAGCAAGUUCUAAAUUAGCAAUGAUUGGUUUGUGAUUUGGAUUUUACAACGAUAUCAUCGAUGUAAAUUCCAACAUUUUACCGAUCAAAUUAUGAAAAAUGAAAUUCAUAGCCCUUUCAUAAGUUGCUUCGACAUUCUUUAAACCGAAAGGCAUCACUAUCCAUUCAAAGGUCCCAAUAGAUCCCGGGCAUCUAAAAGUCGUUUUAGCUACUUCCUUUUCAGCAAUAAAAAUUUGAUUAUAGCCACAUGACCGUUCAUAAAGGACUAAAUUUCAUGUCCGGCUGCCGAGUCUACUAGCAUGUCAGUUAUGAACAUUGGAUAUUCAUCUUUAGGUGUAGCCAAAUGCAAAUUUCUAAAACUGAUACAAACUCUAAGUUUGUCAUUCUUUUUUCGUACUGGUACUAUAUUAGAUACCCAAUCAACAUAACGAUCCGCUCUAAUAAAUCCGACUUUUAAAAAAUUUUCAAUUUCAUUCUUAAUCUGUAGUACAAUACUCGGCUCAAACCUACGAGCUGGUUGUUUGUAAGGCAUAUACCUUUUUUUCAUAUGGAGCCUAUGUUCUACAAUUUCUCAGCUCAGUCCUGGCAUUUCUUCAUGUUCCUGUCGAACCCCCAACCGAAGCUUCUACUUCGGCUUCCAUGCUAGUGCCCGAGCCAGUUAUACCAGUUCGAACAAGAUCUAAACCAACCUCGAAAUCGGUUCUUUCUUGUACUGAUUUUCAUGUUCCAAUUUUGAACUGUUUCAAAUUGGUUUUGCAACCUGAUUAACUAAUUUGGCUAUGAUCGCAAUUAGGAUAGAGUGAGUGGCGGUGAAGAUUUGAGAGAAAAAUCGAGAGAAGAUGCACAGAAAAGAUGGAACGAUCUCUAGGGCUUCCGAUAAAGUAGGAGGAGGAAGCUCAAUAAGGUUUGAUGGAGAAUGUUAGAAUAGAGUAGGGAGUGUGAGAGAAGAGGGUUGGAGGAAAGUCGAGGGAGGAGAGGUGAGAGAAGAAGAGUGGAGUCGAGUCAAGGGAGGAGUCGCAGAGAUGAUUGAAGCCCUAGAUCCAAAGGCGUCGUGAAUUUGGACCUAGAAAAUCACACAGAAGGAUAAACCAAAAUCAACCCCUAUUAUUUAGAACCAAAACUAGAAACCAGAAAACACAGAAAAGGGUAAACCGAUUUAAUCUGCUAGUUUUCUUGAAAUCUAGAAAUUGAACCGAACCAGCUUUUUAAAAAAUUCACCUUUCUGCAUUACAAUAAAAUUGCUUUUUAGCGGCAAUUUAAUAGCGGCGAUUAUCAAACGGCCACUAUUGUACUAUUAUCUUAUUGUAUUUUAGCGAUAAUUAUUUUAAAAUACAUAUUUUUAUCGACUAUUAUUUAUAUAUUAAAUAUAAUCUAACCCAACCUCAACCCUACACCAACCCACCCGAACCCACCCCUCUCUCUAUCGCGACCUCCUUCGCUCGCGAGCCUAGUGUCAGGGACUUAGAAAAACUUCUAUGCAGCCCGGUCUCUGGCCCAAAUCUGCUUAGCGAGUUCGGGUUGAAGACGGGUCGAAUCGGGUUAUCAAGUAGGCUCAAACCCAACCCGCUGUGGGAAACACAAGGGUUAUGAAACUCAUGGGAGUUAUGGGUGACUCUUGAGCUUUUGGCAUUUAUGAGGGCUCAUUAUGUGGGUUCAUUAUGUAUGUAGUGGGUGAGUUGAAAAGGCACAUUUAGGCCUAUAAAUAGUGGGGUUGGCUAAGGCCAUGACACACAAGAGAGAGUGUGUUUGUAUGCUGUUUGCAGGUUGUAAUUCUCAUUUCUAAGUAGUGUAGUACUUAGUUUUUUGAGAGAACCUCUGCCUCUUUCUCUUUGUUAUUUUCCUUUGCAUACUUAGUCGUAGGACGCGAAGGUCCGGGCUAGCAACAGGGACAAAGGCUUGUCCAUCUUCGAGCAGGAAAGGUGGGCGCCGCACGGGCUUUGCGAACGAAACCGCUAAGUUCGUGACACUAGGCUCGCGAGCGACCCGUUCUCUCCCUCCCCUUCCCCUCUCUCCGAGCUCGAGCUCUGCCCCCUCCUUCACCUCCGAUCUCGAUCUUCUCGGCCCCGACCUCCGAACUCGUUGAAGACGCAAUUUAACAGCGUCUUCUCUAAGCUCCGAUGCCGAUCUUCUCGGCCCCCAGUGCUUCGAGGAGAUAUGCCGCCGACGGUGUCGCCCUCGGCCUCCUACUCCACGAGCGCGGCGGUGCUCCGACCACCUCCCUCCGCCGCCACACGCCAACGACGGGGUUGGUGCUCCGCUCGGCACCAAAGGGCCCGCUCUCCCCUCCCUCUCCAAGGCCUGGGCGGACGAAUUGGCGCCGCUGCCCUUGUGGUGGUCGCCACUGCCCCUGCGAUGGUCGCCACUGCCCUUUCCUCGUGGCCCAAUCUUCCGUCGUAGCGUAACUCUCCAAGCUCGAGGUAUCCGAAUCUGUUGAUUUUAUUUUCCCGAGUUACCUGGCGGAUUGUUUAUUUUGUGAAUCUUCUUUGUUCUUGAAUUCGCGAUCAACGCUCCUAUUUUCGUAAUAGAUAUUAAGAGUAGAAGAUUUAUGAACAAUCUAGUUUUUAGUUCAUGGGCAUUUGCACAAGCUGCAGAAUAUGAUAUUUAUAUGAAACAAACCGAUUGCUGAAUCACAUGAGAAAUAAACCAGUCGAGGCAUACACUAAUAAUGGCAAUAUAAAUAAAACCCAGUAAACUAUUUAUGUCACACAACACUCGUUACAAGAGCAUACCUUUUCGAAUUGUACAAUGUCCGAUUCUAUAUCAUUGAUUUGUGGGUCUGCUUGAUGUCUAGGUGAUAGAGCUUUAAAAGUUAUAGCUUUGCAUACAUAGGUUCUUUUGAUGAUGUAGGUCAUAAACUGUUUAUCUGAUUAGAUUUUGCUUUUAAAAUGUUGAUCAUCGAAAUUUGAUUGUGAAGCAAUAAUUUCUCUUAUUUUGGUGGGGUUUUGUUUAUCUUUGGGUUUAGAAUUGCCUACCACGUGUUUGAUUAAAUGCUUAAUCGUGUUGGCUUUGUAAUUUUUAUGGUAAUAUGGAGGUGAAUUGAAGAGGGUUCUUUCGCAAGAGACUCGAUUGGAGCCGCAGGAACAGAGGAUCCUGUUUAGAGGGAAGGAGAAGGAUAAUGAUGAGUGUUUGCACAUAGCGGGUGUGAAGGAUAUGGAGAAAGUAGUCUUAUUGGAGGACCUAGCAAGCAAAGAGCGGAAGCUUGAGCAGAUAAAGAGCGAACAGGGGAUCACAAAGGCUUGUGAGGCCAUCGCGGUUGUGAGGGCUGAGGUCAGCAAGCUUGCUGAGAAAGUGAAUAACCUCUCUCUCUCUCUCUCUCUGUGUCUCCCUCGUGCACGCGCGCUUGUUAGAUAAAAGGUGGGUUUCUUUCUUGUCUUUGGCAGCAUGUUUAAUGGAAAAUUUUGACAACUUUGUGCAGGUUGCAGCUUUGGAAUCUGCCAUUCAUGAAGGCAAGAAGGUUGCAGAUAAGGAGUUUGUUGUUUUGACAGAAUUGCUGAUGGUUCAAUUGCUGAAAUUGCACAGUAUUGAGGCAGAGGGUGAGGCAAAGGUGCAAAGGAGGAUCGAGGUAUCUUUAAUUUUCACUCUUUUAUCUUUUUUGGAACAUUAAAUUAUUACUUGAUAUUAAAUAAUUCUGAAUUAAUUUUUUUUUUUUUUUGAGAAAUAGGUAGCACGCUACCUGUUUCAUUCAUUGCAAGGAUGAACUAGGCUACAUGGGUGAGACAAUGGCGACCUCAGAAGUGGGGGCGAAAAAAAAAAAAAAAAAAAAAAAAAAAAAAAAAAAAAAAACAACAACAACAACAACAACAACAACAACUUGGACCCAAAAUUUGGUCCCAAAAUACUACGAUCUGCCAGCCAAAACUUGGUCCCAACACUUCGUCAUCUGAUUAAUCCUGUGGACUGCUUGGAGGGGGUCCGGAUUACUUUUCCUAAAAAUCACACCGUUCCUAGCCUCCCAAAUAAUCCACCAGCAGGCUAUCAGUCCGGGUAUAGUAGUAUGUAGUCGUUGUGUUUCCUUCAUCGUGAUCUCGCAAUCCCAGACUGCGGUCGCCUCAUCUACCCUAUUCCCAGGCAGGGCGUUCUCCAUACUCAUCACCAUUAGGAAUCUUGAGAACACACACUGCGCAAAUAAAUGGUCGACCGUUUCCUCUUCAGACCCGCACAGCACACAUACAGUAUUUCCAGUCCAGCCUCUCUUGAGGAGGUUGUCAGCAGUUAGGGGCCGCUUCUUAAGGACGAUCCAGGUAAACACUUUUACUUUUAGUGGAACUCGAAAACUCCAGAUUUUACUACUUCGGUCAUCCCUAAGGCCCCCGUCAUUCAACAUCGAGUAGACGGAUUUCACCGUGAACCUCCCAUCAGGGCUCCAUCGCCAGUUAACACUAUCUGGUUGGUCCUCAAGUUUGAAGUUGGAUAAGCAGUCCCUGAGAGCUAGGUAGCAAGUAAUCUGCCCAAGUCCAUUGGGGGUAGCCCCACCACCAAUCUUGUUCCAGUCCUACUCGUGAGUGGUUAGCCAAUCACUGACUUUGAAGUUUUUGCAAUGCGAGAGAGAGUAGAUUUCGGGGAAGACCGAUUGCAGCAUCUUAUCUCCACACCAACGGUCGGACCAAAAAUCGAUAGAAUCGCCAUAUCCCAGUUUGUGUAGGGCCCCCCAUUUGAAUAUUUUUUUAAGUCCAAGGACUCCUUUCCACCAAUAAGAGCUGGGUCGGAAGGAUUUGCCCUCCUUAAGUGGUCUUCUUCUGUGAUAGUACAAGUCGUGUAUUAGUUUAUUUCACUGUAGAUGUGGCUCCGAGAAGAAUUUCCACCACCAUUUGGUCAAUAGGGCGUGAUUCAUUGUGCCUAAAUCCAAAACACCAAGUCCCCCCUGUUUCUUACUCUUGCAGAUGUUCUUCCAAGCGACUAGGCAGCCCUUACCAGGUGCAUUGCUUCCACCAUUCCAGAAGAAGUCUCUACGUAGGGCCUCAAUUCGCGCAAUUACUCAUUUGGGCGCCUUGAACAUUGAUAGGAAAUAAAGGGGAAGGUUAGUUAGAACCGCGUUCACUAGGAUAAGUCUGCCAUCUCUAGAAAGAAGUUUAGCUUGCCAUCCGUCAAUUUUACGUUGAAUAUUUCGGAUGAUGUCCAACCAGUCUUCCUUUGAGGGACGGCGGUCAGCCAGCGGCAAUCCAAGGUACUUGGUUGGCAGGUUGCCAACUUUACAGUUGAGUACAGUUGCAAGUCUAGCCGCUUUCCCUUCCACCUUCCCAGUGUAGUAUAAUUCAAACUUCUCCCUAUUAAUUUUCAUCCCUGAGGCCCAUUCGAAGAGUUGCCAUAAGAACUUGAGAUUUCGCUUGUACUUUUUCUUAGCCUCACAGAAGAAGAAUGUAUCAUUCGCAUAUUGGAUAAGGGAGAUUUUUGUCGCUUCUGAAGGUUCGAGUCCUUUAAAUAGGUUAUUGGAGAUGGCCUUGUGCGUCAUUCGGGCAAGGCAUUCUGCCACCAGGAGAAACAGUAACGGAGAGAGCGGGUCGCCCUGCCUGAUCCCUCUCUUCGUCUUUAUCCAAUUGGUUACGUCACCAUUCACCAAGAUAGUUACCUUGGCUGAGCAAACACAGAGCUUGAUCCAACUACACCACUUAUCGUCAAAGCCCCACCAUUCUAACACCUUAAAAAGGAACGGCCAGUAGAUCCUGUCGUAAGCCUUUUCAAAAUCCAGUUUAAUACCUACGCCCUCUAAGCCGAGUUUAUUACCCCAUCCUAUUAGCUCAUAAGUUGCGGCAAAAGCAUUAGUAAUAUUCUUCCCCUUCAGGAAGGCCGAUUGGGAGGACCCUAUCAGAUCGCACAUAACUAGCUCGAGGCGAUUGGUCAAGACUUUCGAAAUAAUUUUAUGUAUCCCGUUCAAUAAGCUGAUGGGUCGGAAAUCAGUCGCUCGCUUGGCCCCUUCCCUCUUAGGGACUAAGCAGAUAAAAGUGUAGUCGAAGGGGCCAGUGUCCAAUUUUCCGUCAAACUUUUCGUGGAAGAUACUCACGAUAUCCUUCUUCAGGGUCUCCCAGAAUGUUUGAUAGAAGCUCAGCGGAAACCCGUCUGGACCUGGCGCCUUAUCCCUUCCUAGUUGGAAAACCGCUGUUUUGAUUUUCUCCACGCUGAAAGGUCUAGUAAGAUGGGCGAGGUUGAAGUUCGAAACUCGAUUCGAAUCAAACAGCCCACUCGAGUCGCCAAAGGUCGACGGAGCUAAGUCAUUCGGUGAGUAUAGUUUCUUAAAGUAUCGGAGGAAGUAUUGCUUUUUAUCCUCCUUCGUUCGGUAUACUUGACCUUCCUCUUCAACCAUACUUAUCUCGUUCACUCUUCUCCUACCGUUGGCUAUGGCGUGAAAGAAUUUAGUGUUUCCGUCCCCUUCUCUUAGCCACUGUUGCUUGGCCCAAGUUCUCCACAGGGCUUUUUCGUCUUUCAGUACAGAAUUUAAUUUACUCUUAAGUUCCUCCCUUUUAGCCCUUUGUACUGGAGCUGGUUCUCGAAAUUCUUUCUCUUUAUCAAUGUCCCGUAUAUCCCCUUUUAGCCUAAGUUUUUCCCCUCUUACACUAUGGAACUGAGUCGCACACCACUCUUUGAUUCUUGUCCUACAAUGUCUUAGUUUGGUCGUGAAUGUGAUAAUUCAUCCAUAUAGUCUUCAUACAUGGUUGGACCAAAACGAGUGCAGAGUGCUUCUACGAAAUUCGUCCACGCUACAACUCCACUGCUUUUCUCAAACCAUUGAAACCAUUGCAAUGCUUCCUUCUCCAUAUGGUACGAUGCAAGUGGAACUUUUUGCGCGUCCAGUAUUUGAUUAAAUUUAAAGAAUUGCUCUGCUCGAUACACCCAUCCAGUUGGAUCCUCGCCCUCAAAUCGGGGAAACUCCAGUCUUGUGACACGAGGUAUCACCAUCAUAGAGUUCUCCAUAGUAGGAAUCAAUGUUCCUUCCUUGAAGGGAGUAGGAAGAAGGGGACGACUUUUAUCGGAACUUGCGGCGGAUGUAUCUUCGGACGGUGCUUGCGGUCGCACAUCUAUCUUUGUAUUCAUAGCGAUAAUUAAAUUUUUAAGAUCGUUAAUAGAAUCGUUAAUGGACCUUACCUCGGUCUCCAGUUUGUUCAAUCGAGUAUCAACGUUGUUUAUUUCCUCCCGUCGUACAAACUCCCCAUCCAUCCUUCGUAAGGUUUCUUUUUUGCUCGAGUCAGGACCAUACAAGCUCUGAUACCAAUAUUAAUACAAGCUCUUGGUAUCAGAGCUUGUAUGGUUCUGACUCGAGCAAAAAAAGAGUCCUUACGAAGGAUGGAUGGGGAGUUUGUACGACGGGAGGAAAUGAACAUCGUUGAUACUCGAUUGAACAAACUGGAGACCGACGUAAGGUCCAUUAACGAUUCUAUUAACGAUCUUAAAAAUUUAAUUAUCGCUAUGAAUACAAAGAUAGAUGUGCGACCGCAAGCACCGUCCGAAGAUACAUCCGCCGCAAGUUCCGAUAAAAGUCGUCCCCUUCUUCCUACUCCCUUCAAGGAAGGAACAUUGAUUCCUACUAUGGAGAACUCUAUGAUGGUGAUACCUCGUGUCACAAGACUGGAGUUUCCCCGAUUUGAGGGCGAGGAUCCAACUGGAUGGGUGUAUCGAGCAGAGCAAUUCUUUAAAUUUAAUCAAAUACUGGACGCGCAAAAAGUUCCACUUGCAUCGUACCAUAUGGAGAAGGAAGCAUUGCAAUGGUUUCAAUGGUUUGAGAAAAGCAGUGGAGUUGUAGCGUGGACGAAUUUCGUAGAAGCACUCUGCACUCGUUUUGGUCCAACCAUGUAUGAAGACUAUAUGGGUGAAUUAUCAAAAUUACAACAAGGACCUACUCAGAGUGUUCGUGACUAUCAAGCUCGAUUCGAAAUGCUAGCCAAUCGCACUUCAGGACUAACUGAGGCAUUUUUCAUAAGUUGCUUCGUUAGUGGGCUGAGGGAGGACCUAAAGCAUGAUGUCCGAGCCUUCCGACCAACUUCUAUGUCAGCAGCCAUCGGUCUUGCUCGUCUACAAGAGGAAAAGUUGAUAGCUCAACAUCGUAUUAUAAAUUCUAAGCCUUCUCUUUUGUCUGCCUCUACAACACCAAUGUCUAAUGAGACGCUUCCACCUAUAAAGCGCCUCACACCGGCUGAAGCGAAAGUAAGAAGAGAUCAAGGCCUUUGCUACAAUUGUGAUGAAAAAUAUAGACCCGGACAUCGAUGCAAAUCAAAGCAACUAUUUUUGAUCGAGGCCGAACCUGAUGAAAAUAGAGAAGAUGAUAUAAAAGGAUUAGACAAGCUUGAGGAUUUUCCACCUUGAGGACAAGGUGGCUUUCGAGGGCGGAGGAGAUGAUGCGACCCCAACUUUCCUUUUUAAUAGUUUCCUUUUAAUAAACAAGUUCAAAUUUAAAUAUCUUGUUAUUUAGAAAUAUAUUUAGGAAUAAGCAGUUAUCUUGUUUGGGAAUAGAUUUAUUAGGUAUGAUUAGGAGUAGUUUAAGGAUUUUGACUCUAUAUAAUGUAACCCGGAGUUACAAGAAAUAAGAAAGUAAUAUUGUCUCUUUUCCCUCAUAGAAUCCCAAUUGUCAAUCCGCUUAUCCCUGUAGUAAUUGCUAUAUAAUGUGGCUAUUCCUAUUGCUCAUGUUUAAUUGUAUGAAAGACACAACGUAGUGUGAUUUGUUGCUCAUGUUUAAUUGUAUGAAAGACACAACGUAGCCUGAUUUGUGGCUCCAAACAGAUUUUGGCACGGAAUAUAGAUUGCUUGAUUAGCUAUAGCUUGUUUUACUAUGUGAUAGAACUAGCAUAAUAUAGGUACUGAUAGUUCAGUUGCAUCUAUCUAGAUUUUAUUUUAUUUUCUAAUGGAUAGAGUUGACGGUGACAGCGAGGAAUUACGAGCGGAAAACAAGAGAUUUUUUGAAGCCUUAAAGAUAGAAUCAUGGAAGAGGAUAUUAUGAACCAGUUGGUUGUUAGAAGCUUAAUGAGGAAUAUAGGAAAUUAAAUAUGAGAUUCUUUCACUAAUUAAAUAUGAAAUUUCAGGGACGAGUUGAAGUCAUUCAAGAAUUUUGUUCAAAAGCUUGAAGAUGAUGUAUUGCCAAAUGAAGCAAUAAGGAGGUACUCGUCUCCUAUCUGUUUCCUUAUAUAUAGAAUUGUGUUUGACAAGCUUAGGCCCUCUUUGGGUAUUGUUGCCAUUUUUUUGUUUCUAUAAACAAAAUUUUAUAUGAUUCAGUGUGCCAAUUGGUGGACUUCCCUACUCUUUUCAUUGUUGGCUGACCUGCAACCCAUCCUGGCCAAAUGCCAAAAGUCGCUACUAUGUUUUUGUUUUCUGUUGCCGAACAAAACUGUAAACUGCCCCCACACUCCAUUGCAUAGAAUGUGUUUUUAUAAAAACAAAAACGGCAACAAUAUCAAAUAAGCCCUUGGUUUUAGAAUGCUAAUUUGAGUUUUAUUCUGGUUAUCUAGGUAUUCGCUAUACAUUGAAUCUUAGAAACGGGCUUACUUUGAGGUCCAGAAGACAGAGGAGUGGUAUAUGACGUUUAUCUUUCUAGAAUUUUACAUUUACUUUUGAAAGAAACUAGAAAAAAAAAAUAUCUUUUCAAAAUUUUACAUUUACUUUUGAAUGAAACUAGAAAAAAAAAAGGAAAGUGAAAGGUAACAUUUUCUAUGCAAUUAAUAAAUCUGUAUUUUGGUAUAGGCUGAAAAACAAGUAUCAUCCUUCUAAUCUGAUGGCCAUCGUAGAAAGGUGAGCAUACUCAACAUCUAGAAAGUACUGAACUGCAACAAUUGACAUACCUUUAACAGCAAUGGUAGCAUUUGCCUUGACAUACUCAAGGAACAGUGAAGCCCUGCUCUGAGUAUUUCAAAGGUAUUAGUUUUAUGCCGAGUUAUAUUCUUUCUAACACUUGGAAAAUCAACUUGUGCAGAUUUAUCAUGACUAAUUUGAUAAUUCGAUUCUGUUCUGGAAACUUUCUUUGAGUGGUUUUAUAAUAUUUGUAUUUCAUCCCUGAUCUUUUACCAAUUUAAAUGAAAAUUACGCCUUUCUGACGUUUCACUUUUCUGCACAUAACUCUGUGCCUGUUUGGCCUAGUAUUAGAGAUAGCUUUAUUGUAAGCUUUUCAAAUUUUGGAUGUUGCAGAAAGCCUAGAUGCCUCUUUUGGGCCCAAAAGCACAAGCUCCAAUAUGAAGCUUAUGCUUUUUAGCUGCUCUAGAAAGCUAGUUUGGGCAUCCUAAUAAAAGCAGUGUUACUGAACCCUGGACAGGCAAGUGUGCUUACAAUUAUUAUUAUUAUUAUUAUUAUUAUUAUUAUUAUCAUUGUUAUUUUUCCGCAUCUGAGCAACUUGUGAGUUCAUCAUCUAUUGACACUUGGCUGAGCAACUAAAAUUUCUGGUAAAUUCUAAAUAUAUUUUCUUAGCAUAUUUGUUAAUAAUUUUUUAACCAUUAUUCAUAUAUGUUUUUCUUGCAGAUUAUUCUUCUCAAGCCCAUAGAUCUUUUCUAUUGGAAUCUUCACUCUUUAAGGAUGAGUCUUCGUGAAGUGUAGUUUGAACUUCUCUAUUGGAGUGCAUAGAACUUUUUUUUAGCCUAUAAAACUCUUUAAUUACAUAUUAGUCUUCUUAUAGUUCAAAUUUUUUUAGCUAUCUAAUAUUUGAUUUACAUUUAUUUUAUGAUAAAAAUUGAUUUUGACAUUUAUUUGUACUCAUAACAUUUUUGAGAAUGUAAUAGGCUUCUAUAUUCAGUUUAUUUGAUAUUCAUGAAAUGUUGGAUUUUUAAUUUUUAUUGUCUAUACAUUAUUUUUUUGAAAGUUUUAGUAAUUAAUUAAAUAUAUAACUUUUAAUGAUUAUUUAAUAUUUAUUAUAUUUUAUGGUUAUUUAUCUUAUCUUUGUUGGCAUUUGUGAUUAAUGUUACAUAUUUUAUGGGCAAAUGUAUUUUGCUUUUAAUGGCCUUUUUAAUUGCCGGUAUAGAGUAAUCUUUAGUGGCAAUUGUUUUGUUUUUUACCGGCCGCCAAUAUAAUUACCGCUAAACUUUUACCGAUCUCAUUUAUAGUGGCAAUUAUUACAAUUGCCGGUAAAGAGAGUAGCGACGAUUAUAAUCUCCGCUAAUUUAUGAGAUAAUUGUCGCUAAAAGACAAUUUUGUUGUAGUGCCGGUUCCAUUUUGGUUUGGUUCUUGGUUGAGAUAAAGACCUGUUCUUGAAAUGUUUUUUUGGGAUUGAGAAAAUAAUUUUUGACCAAUAUUUUUGUCGAACCGAGCAUACUUUUAACCCGACCGAACUUUCCUUUGUGAAAUUAAGGCAUCUUAGAUUUGUUAUAUCUCUCUUACUAAAAUAUCACUCCCUCGUCAAAUCACAACGAAUUCUAUCCUUGACAUUAAAUACUUAGGCUAGAAUGUGCAAUAUUCAAAGUAAACAAAUAAUCAUGGAAAUGAGAUACCGCUAGUAAGGAGCUGUUCUACGCGUACAGUGCUAAUGCUUUGUCAUACUUUAUAUAGAAAUUAUAGCUCUGGAACCGAAAGUGAGUUAUAAUCUUACAAUUCCUAUCAUCCAGUGGCACUUAUAUUUUUACUAUAUAUUCUCAUCAUCUUUCCUUUUUAUUAGUAAAAUUCAAUUCAAGAAAAAAAAAUUUAACGCGAGGAGAUAGGAUUACAAUCCUUGGAUCAAUAGUUGUAAUCCUAUAACCCACUUUGGGUAGUAGGCUUAGCAUUUCUCUUCACACUAUGCUUGAAACAAAUUUAAUAAAAUCAAUUAAGGCCAAUAAAACGAUAUAUAUUAACUUAUGAACUUGCAAGCUGUGGGAAAACAACAGUAACAUCAAUUAUAAUAAUCUUAAUUGCAACCACCACCGUACACUGUAUAUAUAUCUAAGACGUACUCUUGAGACACAGUAAUUAAACACGAUCUUAAUUUAUUACACCACAAAUAGAUAACUCUCUCUCUCUCUCUCUCAAAAUGCAAAGUAACUUAAAAGACAACAACACGAAGCUGGAGAGCUUGAGCACACCACCACCAUACAUCAACAGCUUCUACUUCUAAGGAUUUGCUUCAGCUUUAGCAGGAGGAAAGAAGUGGUGCUUCUUCUUGAAGAUCUUCUUCAGAGGGUGAGGGGAGUAAGGAGGGAACUUAUGGAAGUGAGGAAACGGCUUGGGAUGCAGGUGGUGGAAGGGAACUGGCUUGUAGACCGGGGUGGGUGGCUUGUAAACCGGAGUCGGCGGCUUGUAGACCGGAACGGGCGGCUUGUAGACCGGAACGGGGGGCUUGUAGACCGGAGUCGGCGGCUUGUAGACCGGAACGGGGGGCUUGUAGACCGGAACGGGGGGCUUGUAUGUAGGCACGGGUGUUGGUGACGGAAGCGGCUUCUUGUAGACGGGAGGGAAAUAGUGAGAUUUUGGAGGGAAAUCGAACUUGUGGUGCUUGUGGAACGGGUCAAACUUGAAGGUGGCGGAGGUGCACGUUGCCGACGCGAACGAGAGCGGCCCGGAUGCCGCGGUGAACACGCGCUCGCCGCCGUUUGCUUUGGCGGCGGGAAUUAGCUUCGAUGGUUUUGCAGGGCACGGGGUGGUGGCUUCAGGGGACGCCGUGGAGUGGAGCUCUACAAAGCAGUCGUGGUUGAGGUCGUCGGCGUCGGCGGCGAGGGUGUCGGCGGGGAGAGGGAUGUUGAAACUCCCGGUGUUGUCGAGCUCGCCCAUGGCUUUGGUCUCGUAUAAGCCCGUGGCGGCUUUGCA